rnacentral:lncRNA from 1 species
CCUCUGUGAAGUUGUGAAAUAGCAGCCUUGAUAAGAACUACAGAACAAAGCUGAGAGUUGCUGGUCAGGGCUGGUAUGAGACCUAUGGCCAUGGAACUGACCCAUCACCAAGCUCCAACCUGAAUGUCCCCAGGUGAUCCACAGACACCAACUUCUAACCAGACAAACUGCAUGAUUUCAAGAGUGCGUUUUUGGAACUACCAGAAGGAUCAGUGUCAUUAGGAAACACAGCUACAAAUGCUGUCACUUAACCCAACUUGAAUGAAUGAAGAUCAUGCUCAAGGGAUAUAAAGAACACAGCCUCAUCUCUUUGGUAAGUGUUCUUAUUUUAUAAUGACAUAUUAUAUUAUAAAUGCAGUGAAUUCUGAUUAGUUGUAGGACAAAGCUAAAAAAUACACAUUUUUUUUGUAGUACCAGUGAUUGAACUGAGGGCCUUGCAUAUGCUAGACAAGCAAUGAACUACAUAUUUUACUUUGAGACAGGUCUUGCUAAGUGCUGAGGCUGGCGUCAAACUUGUGAAACUCCUGUUUAUCUCCCCAGUAGCUGGGAUCACAGGUGUGCACCAAUGCUCUCUGCUAAAAAGUCUUUUUUUUUUCAUAAGAACAUAGAAAAAUAUAAUAGCCACAAGACAUUGUGAACUACCUCUCAAAAUUAAGCAAAUUAUCUAGAAUUUAUUAAAGGCUGAGAGAUCUGUUCCUCUUUUGCACGACUGAGGUCGGUUUAAAAUAUCACUUCUUUUUUUUGUGUGAGGGGGUGCUAAUGAUUGGACUCAGGGGCACUCAACCACUGAACCACAUCCCCAGCUUUUUUUUGUAUUUUAUUUAGAGACAGGGUCUCACUUAGUUGCUUAGUGCCCCGCUGUUGCUGAGGCUGGCUUUGAACUCGGGAUCCUCCUGCCUCAGCCUUUCAAACUGCUGGGAUUACAGGCAUGUGCCAUUGCACCCCCCACCCCUCCCCCCAACAAAAAUCACUUAUUUAGGGAAGCCUUCCUGGACUACCCAAAGCAAAGGUCUCCCUUGCUAUUCUCUGCCUGUACACUGUUUGUGUCUUCAAUAGUGUGUAUCAUAAGCUGUCAUUAUACAUUGGUUUGUUUGUUUUCUUGUUUUUUACUGUGUCUUGACAAGACCACAAAUUCCACAAAGGUAAACACACAAAGAUGUGUGCACUUCUUUAACCUCACAUACCCAGAAAGAGGUACUAUACUUGGCACAUAGAAGUACCUAAAAAUAAUAGCAAUAGAAUGAAUGUUCCAUUAGUGACAGUCUUUUGACUAACAUCUUUCAACAAAAACUUCUGAAAUCAAGAUAAAGCCUGUUCACAAGUCAGUAUCGUCAGUAUCAAUUUUAAAAGUCUAAGCAGUUUUUCAGAGAGGUAAUUGAUUAAUUCAGUCCAAGAGCUGAUGCAUGUUAAUUCUUGAAGUUAUUCUAACAAGGCACACAAUAAUUUGAAUUCUACAAUUUUAUAUUUAUUUAAUGUUGAUUUAUCAAAGUUUGCCAACAGCCAGAUUUUACCCAGAGAGAUAGUGACAGUGAGGAUGGCUUAACAGAAGCCAUGAGAGUGAGUUCAAGUUGGAUUGCAGCUCAAUUAAUGGAUGGUUUUAUCUUCCAGAUUAGGACAUGAAGCUUCAUCCAGUUCAGUUCCACAGAUAACUUAUAAAUAACUACAGUGUUUUAGAUAGCUGAAUGGCUUAGAUAGGGUCACUGUACUCAGUUUUUUAGUACUUGAUAGACUUAGUCUAUUGGAGAGAGAUAAACUUGACAAUUUUGACAAACACUGAAAUAUAAAUAUGAGCACUGAUUUAGUCACUCAGAUGAGCUUGUUACCCAGGAGCACUGAGGAAGACUUCCCAAUGGAGAUGACAUGAAGUUCAGCCUCAAAAAGCCCCACCUUAGAGUCUUGGAGUCUGGUGUUUCCUCUGCUGGAACAGAUUGCCCCCAGAUUUUCUAGAGCAUCUCAGGUUGUCUCCUCCAUUACUAUUUCUCUGUUUUAUUCUUGACAUUUACUAUUAUCUGAAAUUAUCUUGACAUUUAUCUGUUUACGGUCAGUCUGAUCCCUCAAGAAUAUAAGCUCUAUGAGUAUAGAGACCUGGUCUUCUUAGCAUCGGGAAGUAGUUUUAUUAAUUGCAAAGUGACAUGAUAAAAUUACUCUGGAAAAGCCAUUCUGACAAUGGAGCUUAGAAGGAAUUGUAGGGGACACAGACUUAGGUAAGAAGAACAUUAGAAGGUUCUCGUGACUUAAUAAGAGUGAUACAGGGAAAGAUCUAAAUUGCUUCAAGAAGCAUGAAGGUGCAUGUUGAAUCCACGACUUGCUGAAUGAAGAAAUUCCAAUUCACACUGGCUUCACUCAUCCUCAAAGAGACUCUGCUCAUUCCCACUUUAGAUUCUGUAGUUGUUUCCUCUUCCUGGAAAACUUCUCCAGAUCUCUGUAUUGUAUUUAGAUCUCUUCUUACAUGUAACCUUCUUAAAGAUUUCUUUCCUAGCCACCUUGUUUAAAAGCAUUCAUCUUCAUACCCUGGUUUUGUUUUUCCUCCUGGUAUAUUCACUCAUUAUCAUUACAUUAUACACAAAACAUUAUAUUACACAUUAUAUGUAAGUUUCCAUAAGGCAAGAACUCAGUCUGCCUUGUUCACCACUUCAUUUGCAAUGGACAGCAUGUAACAGGAAUUCAGCAUAUUUAUGGAAUGAAUAAAUAGACCAGACUGGGUAUGAAGGUGAUUAAUAAGGACACUGAGUCAUUAUGAAAUUAGAAUAACAGAAGGGAGUUUGGUAGAAGUUACAAGUUCAUAAGGAAUGCUCUUCAUCAAGACAGACUCAGAUAAGCAGGAUUACCCAGCAUCAAACAGUGUUUGACACAUAGGAGGAGGAACUCAAUCUAAAAUGAAUGAAAGAACACCUUGCUUGCUUUUCCAAUUAAUGUAUACUGAGAAAUUCAUAAAAACGACAUCCCAAAUGAAUAAUUAAUUCUCUUCAGAGAUUUUUCAAAGUCAUACUGGUUUUGCUAAUAUUUGUAUGUACCAAUGAGCCUUUGCUGGAUUUGUUAAACCAUCUGUACCACAGAUUGUUUUAAACUGUUUUCUCAAUAGUUUACCUGAGGAUCACGUCUUAAUUUUUAACCAGAUUAACAACAUAAUUUUGAGAGUUCUACAAAGCUUUGCUCCUGAAGAGCUCCAUUCCCUCUCUCCUUCUUUUAUAGUUGUCAUAUUCAUAUGUGUUACACAUAAGUUAUAUCUUUAUAUUGUAUGUUCAUCACAUAUUAUUUACUAUGUACUUUUCUUUUUGAUUUAUUGGUUCUUUUUAGUUAUACAUGACAGCAGAAUCUGUUUGGAUAUAAUUAGACAAGCAUGGAAAAUAUCUUAUUCUAAUUAGAGUCCCAUUCUUAUGGGUGUUACUAUGUACUUAUCUUUACCAGUGCUCUUUAUUUCUUCUUCUGGGGUUGAGUUUUUGUCUAGUGAUCUUUAAUAUCAGUCUGAAGGACUCCCUUUAGAAACUUCUGUAGUGCAGGUUUGCUCUGAAAAAUCCUGUUUUUAUUUAUCUGUGAAUGUCUUAAUUUCUGCUUCAUUUUUGAAGUAUAGUUUUGUUAGAGGUAGAAUUUUUAAAAAAAUAUUUUUCAGUUAUAGGUGGACACAGUAUCUUUAUUUUAUUUUUAUGUGGUGCUGAGGAUCGAACCCAGCAUCUCACGCACGGUAAGCAAGCGCUCUACUUCUGAGCCACAACCCAGCCCCCAGAGUGAGAAUUCUUGAUCCAUAACUUUGAAUAUGCCAUCCACUGCCUUCUGGCAUUCAUAAAUUCUGAUGAAAAAUCAGCUAUAACUCUUAUUGAGAAUCCCACAUGUGUUAGCCAAGAUAAAUCUCAGUAUAUUCUCCUAUAAGGAGAAAAGGAUUACUUUGGUUCAUGGUUUCAGUCCAUAGCACUUGGCCCCUGUUGCCUUUGGGUCUGUGGUGAGACAGUACAUUAUGGUGGGAGCAUGUAUUACAGCAAAGUUGCUUACUUCAUGGAGGCUGAGGAGCAAAAAGAGAAAAAGAGGAAGGAUGAGUGUCUCAAUAUCCCUUUCAAGGGCAUGCCCUCAUAUGGCUGGAAGACUUCCAACUAGUCCUCACCUCUUAAAAGUUCUACCACCUUCCAAUAGUGCCAUAAGCUAGGAACCAACCCUUUAACACAUGGGCCUUGGGGGAACACUUGUAAAAUAUGGUACCUUGUAUAUAAUGAGUCACUUCUUUCUUGUUGUUUUCAAGAUUCCCUAUUUUUAUUUUUCAGUAAUUUUAUCAUAAUCUUUCUAGGUGUAGUGCAUACAUAUUUGUAUGUACCAAUGAGCCUUUGCUGGAUUUGUUAAACCAUCUGUACCACAGAUUGUUUUAAACCGGUUUCUCAUCAGUUUACCUGGGAAUCACAUCUUAAUUUUUAACCAGAUUAACAACAUAAUUUUGAGAGUAUACAAAGCUUUGCUCCUGAAGAGUUCCAUUCCCUCUCUUUUAGCUUAUCCUACUUAGAGUUUUUCAUUGUUGUUUUAAGCUUCUCAAAUGUGUAGCUUAAUGGUUUUAAAAAAUAAAAUUUGAAUAGUUUUUAGCCAUUGUUUCUUUAUAUUCUUUCUGUUCCUUUUUCUCCUUUCCUUCUGCUAACUACCACCAUGCACUUAUGGUGUCCCAUGGGUCUCUGAGGCUUUGUAUACUUAUUUUUUUAUUCUUUUUCCCCCUCUUCUUCAGGCUAAAUAGUCUCAAUUGACCUAUCUUAAAGUUUAUCAAUUCUAUCUUCUUCCCACUCAACUCCUGCUGUUGAACUCUAGUGAAUUUUUUAUUUAGGUAAUUGUAUUAUUCGACUCCAGAAUUUCUAUUUGGGUCUUUAAAAAAACACAAUAAUUUCUGUCUCCUUAUAUAGUGAGUCUUCCUUCUCAUACUUUCUUUUCUUGGUUCUUUGAAUAUGUUUAGAAUAGAUAACUUGAACCUUUGUCUAAUAAGUCCAACAUUAUUCUCCCAGGGAGUCUCAAUUGACUGCUUUUCCUCCAGAUAUGUUUUUCUUUUUGCAUGUUUCAUAAUUUUAUAGACAUUAAAAAACCUGAACAUUAAAAAACAUAACUUGACAACUCUGGAAAUCAGAUGCUCUCCUAUCUCCCUGGAUUUAUUAUUAUUGUUGGUUUGAUUCUGAAUUAAUUCUGUCAAGUUUAUAUCCUUUGUCAUGUAUGGUUACUAGACUCUUCACUUCAGUGAGUUUAGUGGUCAAUAAUGAUUGGACAGAAAUUUCAUUAAAUAUCUAAGACCAAUAAGCUUUGCUGUCUUUGGUAAAGAAAUCUGUGUGAGUAUUUGGAACAAGCCUUCAACAUUCAGCCAGGAAGUUUCUAACUCUGCCUUGUCCUUGCUUGUGCAGAACCUCAAAGUCAAGCAAAGCUGAGAAAUUAAGGACUUUCCCGGUGUUUUUUGAGUAUAUGCACAGGCCCAGGGAUGCAUAUAGCCUUCUAGAUUCCCAGAAAUAUACUAAAAAUUUUCAAAGCUCCUUAAAGAAAUUUCAAGUCUCAGAUUUUCCCUUUAACUUUUUUAGUUUGUCUACUGUUUGACUCAACUAUUACUUAACAUAUUAAGCAACUGUAGAGUUCCCAACCAAUGCCUCUAGGAAAAGUGCCUACACAUUGGGUAUGCUCCAAGUCAGUUCAAAUAAAGACAGUUUUUGAGUAAAAUAUUUUUAUGAACCACCAGAGAGCAAAAUAAUGCUAAUUCUCUUGGAUGGGACUUUGAAGGAGCUCUAACCCCAUUAUAUCCCCUCCAGUGGUUGCCAGGAUGUUGGUAUUCACUGUAUUGCAGGCUAUUGGUUUUCAAGGCUAUCAUUGAUUUGAGGAGGGGGAAACAGGGAUAGGGAAAGUUAAAAUCUCAUAAGUCUUGCUGCUCUUUCUGAUAAAUGACAACUUUUUGAAUAAAGUGAUGAACUGAACCUCUAAAACUGUGAGACCAAAACAAACUUUUCCUCCUCUUAGUUGUUCUUGUCAGGUAUUUUGAUUAUAGCAAUGGAAAACUUAUUAACACAACAUUGAUUAAUAUUAUAAUAUAGUUAUGUUAUUAUUAAAUAAUUAUAUUUAAUAUAUAAUUGUUAUUACUAAAUUUUAUUUUAUUAUUUUAUUGCUCAUUUUACUGAAUAAGCCUUUGAAUAAUUUCCAGAGUUCUGAAAGAGUUGAUUCUGAUAAUUUUUUUUUCUGGUGUUCUCAUUGCUAUUAUAGAGAAAAUUUCAGAGGUCCAUACUCUGUUAUUUCCACUGAUGUGCCUCCACAGAUUCUUUCCGUGUCAUUUAUCCUUUCCUUCACAUAAACUAUUGUUUUUUAAACAUUAAAAACAUUAAAACCCCAAAUGGUUUAUAUUUGUUCUGUUUUUAAAAGGUGAGUUUUGUGAGAUGUUUGUUUUUAUAAAACCACCAAUGAAAAAAGGCAAUUAAAAAGAUGACAAAUUGAUAAACCACAGAAAAAGAUAAAUUGUUUUUGGCCAUCUAUAAAUUUCACAAAUAUUUUGUCUUUUUGCUUGUUUGGACCCAGUUAACUUGAAAAUUCCAUUUACAUUUUGACCUUGUGUCAGUUCCUUAUAUCCUCCUUCGGCCCAGGCAAGCCUGCUUUCAGCAGCCCCCUUAGUGUUGACCAUCAGUGUCACAUUAGUCAGCCUGGGAGACUCUGAUGAAAUACCACAGACUAGAUGACUUAACAACAGAAAUUUAAUUUCUCAUAGCUCUGGAGUCUGGAAGUCUAAGACCAAAAUUGCUAAAAAAUUUGAUUUCUCCUGAGGCCACUCUCUUUGAUUGCAGAAGACUGUCUUCUCACUGUGCCAGAACAAAGCUUUUAUUUCUGUGUGCCCAUAGUCCUGGAGACUCUUCUUCUUUUAAGUAUUUACCAGUCCUACUGAAUUAAGUCCCCACCCUUAUGACUUCACAUGACCAUAAUUAUCUCCUUAACUCAUUGUGUCCCAUCAUUCCAGAUAGGAAACAUCUACAAAAAUUUAAGCAUAGUAUAUAAUUAUUUAAUAAUAACAUAACUAUAUUAUAAUAUAAUAUUAAUCAAUAUUGUGUUAAUAAGUUUUCCAUUGCUGCAAUCAAAAUACCUGACAAGAACAACUAAGAAGGAGGAAAAGUUUGUUUUGGCCUCACAGUUUCAGAGAGGUUCAGUCUAUGGCUGGCCAAUUCCAUUACUCUGGCCAAUUUCAUUCAACUCGAUUGCUCUGGGCCAAGAUGAGGCAGAAUAUCAGAGUUGGAAGAGCAUGGCAGGAGAAAGCUGCUCAGCUCAUAGCAGCCAGAAACACAUACACACACACACACACACACACACACACACACACAGAGAGAGAGAGAGAGAGAGAGAGAGAGAGAGAGGAAUCAGGGACAAAAUACAAUCCUCAAGGUCAUGCCCUCAGUGAUCUACUUCCUUCAGCCAUGCCCUACCUGCCCUACAGUUACCAUCCAGUAAUCCAUUUGAAUUAUUAAUCUAAAUGGAUUAAUCUACUGAUUAGGUUAUAACUCUCAGAAUCUAAUCUUUUCACCCCCAAAUAUUCCUGUAUUUUCUCAGACAUGAGGUUUUGGGGGAAUACCACAUAUCAAAACCAUAACAUUAAUUGACAUAUAUACAUAUGAAUAUAAACACAUACAAAUAUGUGUGUGUGUCUGUGUAUAUACAUAUAUACAUACACACACAUUCUCACUUUCUCUUUCUCUCCAUUAUGAUUUCCAACUUAUUUUAAUGCAUCUGUGUCAAUUUUGUUGAAAUAUUUGCAGAAUUGAACACUUGGACUUAAUGGGCUAGAGAUCCUAUUUCCAAAUACUGUCACACUGGGAUUUAGGACUUCCACAUACACAUUUUGAAGGGACACAAUUCAGGUCAUAACAAAUGUCUAACAUGGUAACUUUUCCAUAAACACUUUUAGUGAUUAUAUGUAACCUCCUUUGCCUCUUGCCCUUCACUUUUCUACAUCAUUCCUAUCCCUUUGUAAACAUCUCCCAACUAGUCUAUAUGAUGUCUGGUACAAUGAAUGGGAGAGCGACAUUAUGUAGAGCUCCAGACAUUAGUCUUGACAUCAGAGUCAAGAUCCCCCUCUGGAACCAAACAGCUGUAUGACCUUGAGUCAGUCAGCAAGCUCACUGAUUUUCCUUAGCUUUUGCAUUUUAGGGUGUGUUGGCCUAAAAUGCCCUCUACUCCCAGGUCCUGAAUUUGUCAUCAACCUUUAUUACUAAAACAGGCUUGUUUCAUCCUCUUUGUGGUAUGUCUAAGAGCUAAUUAGCAAAAUAUAACCUACCAAGUGUGCUGAUUAAAUAGUUCUGAGUGGUUUCUAUUUCUGCCCAGAUUUUUUCUGGAAAUGCUGUUCCUGCUGUUGCUGCUCAAGUAAGAGUGGCAUUAGCAUUUGUGGGAAGCUUAGUCCAGGAAGAAAGAUGACAUGACGUGCAGUGAGAGAGUGGAUUGGGUAUUGAUGGGUGCAGGUAAUUAGGGGUGGAGCAGAACCUGGGAGUUCCCACAUGUGUAUUUAAUCAACCAACUUUUGCUGAAAAUCUACUUGUUCCAAGCAUUGUGAGAAAUGAAGUAGAGCUCACAUCAGGGCUUUCUCUGAUCACACGAUGUGGUCUCGCAUGAAUUAUAGUUGUAGAAAAAGGAAGAUGACCUGUAUUCAGAUCUUGGACUUGUUCUUUAUUCUUUUGUGACCCUGUGACCACAGUCAAGUCACUUGGCUACUCAGAGUCUUGAUUAUUCCAUUUUAAAAAGAAAGGAUCGAUCAGGAAUUUUAUAUGGCUGGUGGUACCACUUUGACUUUCACCUUCUAGAAGCAUGUUUCCUAGGGAGUGGAGUGUGGAUCCUGACUAAAAUAAAAUCAAUGAACAUAAUAGUCCUUGUUCUCCUAAUGGAAUUUUCUUUAUACUUAAAAAGAGAGCCAAAGGCUGCGGCAGAAGGAUGGCAAGUUCCAAAGCCAGCAACUUAGUGUGGCCCUCUGCAACUUAGCAAGACCCUGACUGAAAACAAACGCAAACUGAGGAUGUGGCUCAGUGGUUAAGUGCCCCUAGGUCCGAUACCCAGCACCACAGAGAGAAAGAGAGAGAGAGAGAAUGAGAAAGAGAGAAAGCCAAAACCCAAACACCAAAUUUUAAUGCUAACAUUGUUCCCUAAAUUGCCAAAGAACUAGAUUUCAUUAUUUUCAACAAAUUCAAUAGAAGCUGCCCAUACCUUUGGAGUUACUGAUUUAUGGCCUUUGGUUCUCUAGGACCUGAUGGUGCCUUUGUGUUCAGGCUAACAUGGCCUUGGUGUCAGCCUUCAUGGGGAGAUUGUAUCACAAGGGAGGUUGUAAAGCACAGUGGUUAAGGCUUAGGCUUCAGGCCAGAGCUGGAUUCAAGUUCUGGCUCUGUCAUUCACAACCAUGUCACUUUGGUAAGGUACGAACUUCUCUAGGCCCAGUUUCCAAAUCUAUAAAACAAGGACGAUGCUGUUACCCACUUCAAAGUCACCGUGAAGAUCAAUUUUUCAACUGUGUUAAAGUUAUCAGUGACUGGCAUAAAAGUUAAAAGCACAAAAAAAUGUUACCUUGAGUAACUGAUAGGAAGAACUCUUUCUUUUAUUUUUCCAGGUCCAUACGGCCUAGCUAUAAUUAUUUUUUACUGUUCUUUAAACUUUAUAUUAAUUUCAUCCAGAGAUUAGGAUGGUUCCAACUGUAACACGAGUACUUGUUCAACCUAAGAUGUCAUUAGUUCAUCUUUCAGAUGUCUUUUUAGAGAUAUAAACCACUAUCUCAUGUUGUUGGAGUACUUACAAAAUUUGGAAGAAACCAAGUGAAGAGAAACAUGCAGUCAAAGAGAAUCAGGAAAAAUUUAGAAUAUAAUUUAAAGUCUUAAUUCUUUUUAUAUGUACAGUUAUCUCAUACAUUUAUGUUUAUAAACAGUACCAUAGUAUUUAUGAAAAAAUGCUUAAAAUCUUUGAGGAUUUACAUAUAAUUUCUUCAAACUCUAUCCAAGAUACAGAACAUAAACAAGUCCACAAUACUGGUGUAAAUAUUUUUAAAGUCUUUCCAAACCAACAAAUCUAAAUAUGACUCUUCCUUUUAUUUUCCCAGUCUCCCUCUUUCAAAUGAACACACUGGUUUUCUUUAGAUCCCAAAGGUACUCUGAAAUCAUGUCCUGGUGAUCAGAGGAUAAAAUAUCAAAAGUUCCCCCUCUAACAUAUGUAAAAAAAUUUUAAGCCAUGGCACUCAGAUAAACAGAGACUGAAAGUAAGCUGGCUUUGCCUCAAAUUAUUGGAAACUUGAUAGUAUUUCAGAAUCUCGAAACAGAUCUUAAGCUGGGUAAAUGUAUUCUUAGAAAAGGGAGAAAAUAUGGGCUGUAUGGAUAAGAAAGGUUUUGGUCAUAGGAGAGGCCAAAGAUUAAGAUAGGAAGAUAAAUCUGCUAGGACCUGCCUAAAUUUCGUUGGAUUGAAAUCACAAUAACCUGUGGCUGAAUGAGGUGUCCUAGCUGCUCCAAGAUACUUGACUUGUGAAUAACUAGAGAGCUUCUCUGGUGUUUACAUACCCGUGCAACUUUGUGUUUACUCUUUGCAGAUCACUCAUGCAGACAUUUAUGCAGUUCACUUCCUGAACUCUAGAUCUCAUCUUCCUUGUAACCAUCAUGCUUACACACAUAACUCACACUGUUUCCUGAGGCUGAUGUGGGGAAGCAAAGCGCAGCAGAGUGUGAGCUUUGGGAAUGGCCCCUUGAUUUUCUUUCUGUGUGUUAGUAUAAAAAGACCCUGAGUGUUUUUUUUUUUAAGUAUGCAUUUUUUUAUUAACUUCCAAACUCUGACAACAAAUUUUGCUCCACAACAUAUUAAACAAAUGUCCAUCAAUAACAGAAUGAAUAAUCUGAGAGCAUACUCACCACAAUGGAAUGCAUUGCAGCAAUUAGAAUAAACAGCCUACUGCUAAUGCAACCAACAUGGCAGACUCUCAUUAACAGAAUGUUGAGUGAAAGAAGCCGGGCACAAGAGUAUACACUACAUGAUUCCUGUUACAUAAAGUUCAAGAAAAGGGACAUGAAUUAGGGUAGAGUAGAAAUUAUCCAGUGGGUGAGGAGGUAUCAUCUAGUGUGAUGGUAGCUUUUUUGUUCUGAGGGCUGGCUAUACAAUUGUAAUCUUUAUAAAAACUCACUAAAUUGUAUAUGAAUAACAAGUACCUUUUAAGAAUAUUUCAAGUAUAUUUCACUUCAUUAGAAAUCUUUUUUUUUAUUAAGAUAUUUGGAAAACAAGUGACUCUUACUUCCUUAGCUAAAAUGUCUUUUCUGAUUAUAGUCUGACAUCCCUCAUUUGUGUUUUGGCCCUUUCUGCAUUUUGUAAUUUGUGUUGUGAGAAAAAUCUUUUAAGACUUUUCAAAAAUUUCCAUGAUGGCCUCCUUGGUAAACACAAUAAAGUGUUUGUGAUAUCUGAGGACUAAUGAUUCACAGAUUGCUGCAUUAUGGCUUUGGGACACUGCUGACAAGCAUGGACUUUUCAAGGUGCUCUUCCUGGGGUCAUAUGAGCCAUCAGUUAACUAUUUCUUUUGUUCACAAAGAUUUCAGGAAAGUACAUGUUCUUUUAUGGCAAGGUUGCAGUGCUGAUUAUCCAUUGGCAGGGGCUUUGUGUAUUUUAGUUAGCAAUGUGAGAUUUCUUAGAGUCACCUGAUGUUAAAGGGCAACUGGAAUAGCUCAGCUGUGAGGAUGUCGGAGCACGGGCUACAAGAAGAUCUCUUGAGCUCUGCCAUGCUAGCAAUUUUUGAAGUGCUCUGUUUGUUCUUUAUUUUUUGAACUGAUUGGUCACUAUUAUUAAUAAGAGACUAUCAAAAAGACAUGAAAUCAAAUAAAUUAAUGAUUAUUUUUUUCAAUGUAAAAAUAAAACUGGUUUAAAAAGUUGUUUUAUUCUGUAAUAAUGUGGGAAUCUGGACAUAUCUUGAGCUCAUCAGAAGGAAUAUCUUAAGACUGUUUUAAAAUGCUUGAGUCGUUAAAAAUGUCAAAAUGUAAUUAUUUUUACUAAUUAAAAUUAUGUUUGAAAGAAAACAAAAUACUCACUUUUCUUUACUAAUAUUGAAGGCUACUAGGAUGUAAUGUGAGAGGCUGUUAUAUAUCCAAGAACCUUAGUAAAGCUUUAAGCGAGGCCCUUUAAAAAUUCUUUCAAAUAAAAAUCUAUAUUUUGCCAAGAAGGAAAAGUUUAAUUUGCACGCGUGCAUGUGUGUGUGUGUAUGUGUGUGUGUGUAAUUGAACCCAGGGGCGUGCUACCCCUGAGCUACACCCCCAGUCCUCUUUUAAUUUUAUUUUGAGACUUACCAAAUUGCUGAAGCUCUCACUAAAUUGCUAAGGCUGGUCUCAAACUUGCAAUCCUCCAGCCUCAGAAAAUUUUGAUUUUAAAUCCUUAAACAGAUGAUUGUAGUAUAAAUUUUUUGUAUAGCGGGUUUCAUAUUCUAAGCCAUAGGGGGUGAAAAAGUACCUUAUCAUUUUUUUUCUCUCUCUAACCUUAUUUAAUGACAAGUUAGCAGCCAUAUGAAGUAAUUUUCUUCUAGAUUUUAAUGAAACCAUUUUUAGUUUUGUUUUUAACUUCAAUUUAUGUAAAUGUGCUAUUAAACGACCUAUAAAAUAGAGAUAGAAGAAUGUAGUUGCACAGCCCUGGAUUUUAAAUAAGAAUUCAAAUUCAUUGAAAUUUGUUAUGUACUAGAUAUGAGACAAGUCCUCUCUUUUCUCUUACCUUAAAUUUCCACAUUUGCAAAUGGGGUUAAUAAUUCCUGUCCUGACUAAAUCACACGUUUGUUUUCUCACUUGAGUUAAUGUAGCUAUGAAAGUUUUAAAUGUUACUUUAAAAAAUCUGGACUUAGAGCUGUUUCUGAUAAUUUAAAAUAUUUAAAACCAUAAUAAACCAUAAUAACAUAGGAACCAUUCCUAAAUGAAGAACCCUCAAGUUUCAAAAGUGUUGACUUUUCAAGGCCAUAGGAUUUCUGGGUAACCAGCUUCCCCCACAAGGAAACACUUUGCUCUCUCAAGCUGGCUUGAAUCUGACACCAUUGCUUCCAUCCAAUAGGAUGCUCAGUGUCAUUUCAGGAACCCUCAGUCCCCCAACAGUGAUGGCCUAUUUCAAUACUGAUAGCUAUCUAUCUAUCUCUCCCUCUCCCUCUCCCUCCUAAGGAGCACAAAGAUACUUUUUCCUAGGUCAGGCUACAGUUUGUGAAAGUAAAACCAUUAAAGGAGCCUAAGAUUUAGAGUACCCAAGUGUGACUUUUCUUAAGGAACAAACUGUCAUAGUCAAACCUCCCUCCCUUCAUAAGCAGAUGAAAUAAUCUGAUGAAGGCACAGGGUGGUGUGAGUGGGAGAAUUGGUAAAGUGGAGGGGGCCUCAAGUCCUCCCCUCAACUGGCCCACUGCCCUCUGUACAGCAGCAAGAUGGGGGACAGAGAGAAGCUCUUCUCCAGCCAGACUCUUGACUUUGAAAAGGUAACAGUUCCUUUCCCUUAACCCUGGCACAGAGGUCAUCUUCUCUGAAUUUCCUUGUGUUCCAAGGAGAGAUACAGAGUUUCUUCCUGUCAGACCAGUACUUUGGGAUCAAAAGCUGAGACACUUUGCUAGCAUAUUAAUUUCUGUGUGAUCUCCCAAACCAGCAUCUUGCUCAGAGAGAACCUCCACAAAAACUUGAAAUUCACUGACUACUGAAUGUACCUCAUGGUUCAUCUAAGUCUGUUCUCUUGAAAUGUGGAACAGAUUUCCUGCUAAAUGAAAUAAUUUUCUAAUAUGUUUGCCUAUUCAAUGUAGUUUGCCAAAAACUGAGACUGUCUUGGUCAACAGAAGCCAAGAGCAUCAUUAAGCAUCAUACCUUCUGCUAAAGUGCUUCUGCUCAAGGGGCCUACUCUGAGUUGUAUCUGAUACAUAAGAUCCAUCUUUUUGCAUUUCCUCUCCAAAGCCAUCUUCCAGUCAUAGGAAAUAACUUAGGAUGUGUUGUUGACCUGGGUUGAUAAAUAGGUUAUCCAGCAGCUUAUGACAUGAACUAGCUCAAAAUGAUGAACUUAGAAAUUCAAUUGAAAAUACCAGGAGAUCAAAGUUAUUAUUAGGUACUGAACUCAAAAGGGAACACAUUGAAAAGCAGACAAAGCUGAGAUCAUGCUGUCCAUUUCAUGACACCCAAAACUACAGGGAGUUAACACCCUAAGUAAGCCAAGAGGGAAAAUAAAACCCAGCAGGGAACGGCAAAAGGUAGAAAGGCAGAGAAAAAGAAUGGCUGAGAACAUUUCCUGAAUAUUUUGUCUCUUUUCCUGGGAUUUUGUGCAUUCUUUAAAAUAUACCUCCAUUGUUUUGAGUAAAGAUGACAUUUAUUGCACCCAAAAGAGCAAAACCAUAACAGAUGCAUACACUUCUUCCAUUUUUUUCCACUGAAGCUUUUUUAUUAUGGAUAAAAGUUAUUAUUUUGUUAUGGAUUCUCUAUGUUAAUGGGGCUGGAUAACUCAUUAGUAAUACUGCAAAUAUUCCAGACCUCAGGAUUCUAAGUUACCAGACUGAGAUAAUUACACCUUACACUGCUCAUGGCCUCCUCUGGUCUCCUGGCUUUAGGAGGGGGCACUCCUUUGGGGCCCAGAGAAUUUCAGCACUUUCAUUUCCAGUUUUAGUUCACAAUUUGUAGCAGAUGGUCGCCCCAGCGGAGAGCCCUGGAGGUGGCUGACUCCUAGAUUUGUUAGGAGGGGAAUGAAGAAUUCCUCAAGAAUUCAUUUUGCAUCUCUGGCCAGUAAGAGAAGGCAACUAGGGCUGGGGUUGUGGCUCAGUGGUAGAGUACUUGCCUAGCAUCUGUGAGGCGCUGGGUUCGAUUCUAAGCAUCACAUGUAAAUAAAUAAAAUAAAGAUCCAAUGACAACUAAAAAAUAUAUAUACAUAUAAAAAAAGAGAAGCAACUAGAAAAAUGCUGCAGACUGUACUUCCAUUUUGCAUAGUUGACUAUUGAGAAUUAAAAAAAAUGACUUAAGCAGCAACUGUGAAAUUUAGGGCAGUUCCAGCUCACCUGGUGAGACUGGUAUCAGUCAGGGAGGGCUGUAAAUUCUGUCCCUGUGCAUGGGAGGAGUCAGAGGUGCCCAUACUCCUACUUACUGGAGACCAGCACUAUGAGGGACAGAACCACUACCUGGAUAUCUCUCAGAGGCUUUUCCUCUAUUUUUGAUGCAGGAUUUUUAUUGCACAAUUGAAUACUUUAUGUUUUUUAAUCUUAAUAAGAGUUUUUCUUAAUUGGAAACCUGCAUUAGAGAAGAAUUUAAAAUACAUUGAUUCGACUAGUUGUUGUUUUCCACCUUGAAAAGCAAUUUGAAAAUGCUAACUGGGAAAAAUCUAUAUUCUUAAAAUAUCACAAGUUCCUGUCUUUCAGUCUUUUUGUGGAAAAUCCAUUAGGUUUCAAUCUGCAGUAGCAGUUGGAAUCCAGGCUUCCAGCUGAGGAGUGGACCAUAUAGCUUUGGGAAGCCAGCUCAAUGGGAACAGUUCAGAAAUUCCUAACUCACAGGUCACUCACUAUAGGUGUCACCAUAAUUUGGUGUUUUCUGACUCAUCUCUCUCACCCCCAGUUCUGAAAGGCUCAGGAACCUAGUUCCUGUCAUUGAGGCAGCACAAUGGUUGCAAGUCAGAAAGACUUAAGAGAAAAAGCGACCGUGUGCUCUCUCUGCCAAGCGUAAAACAGAAGCCCGUUUGUGCAGCUCUUCUUUGGUCAUCCUGCCUGGGUUCCAGAAUAAUCUGCUACAUGAAAAGAGGAGGCAGGAGCCCCAAAUUACAGCUUCCAUCUACCCCACCCCCAACCCCGCAUUUCAUAGCUCUUCUUUCAUUUUUAGAGGUAGUUCCCACCAGAGGAAUGUCCCCAGUUUACCUCAGAAUAAACCCUUCAUUUGGGAAAAGCACCCAAAGAAUCUCCCGGAAACAAGAGCUCUGAUUGGCAUUUCUUUCCUGAUGGGAGGGGGAGAUUUGGGCCUGUUGUUCACCCCGACGAAUUAAUACCGUCACUAAGCAACCGUCUUAACCCCAGUCCAGAUUCUGCAAGAUGAGAAAGAAUGAGGCCACUUAUUCCCCAGCCUCUCUUUAUUACCAGCUCUUGGCUUUGUCGGAACAGACUGUGGACAUAAAAAGUGUCCUUUGGCUUACUCUAGAGGGAAUGAUGUAUUUUAAGAGAGAAUGACAGAAAACAACAAUGGGCUUAAAGCAGGCUGAGGUCACUCCCUGCAGCUCUAAUGAGGCAUCUGAGAUGGCAAAUGGGUACCAGGGACCCAUUACAGACUGCAUAGUUUUAUAAACAUUAUUUAAGUCUCACAACCACUCUGAAAGUGGAUGUUAGCUUUACAGAAAUGAAACCCAGAGUGAAGAGAAUAGGCCAGGAUCAUGCAGAAAUGAGCUGCUGAGUCAGGCCUGGGUCCUGGCUUUGUCUGGUCUAAAGCACUCAACCUUUCCUCUAUAUCCACGGCAGUUACCAAACUUCUGCCCUGGGAAAAAAGUAAGAUAUACAGCUAUAUAAGUUAUAAUGUUUAUUAACUGGUGUUUCCAGGUUUAUAAAUCAUAUUGAAUUGCUCACUAGCCAAUUAUGAUUUGAUUUUUUUCUGGCCACAGUAGCUUACUAUUGUUUGAUCAUAUAUUUAUAUUCAUCUAGUGUUUAUAGAACUUUCUGGGGGCUUCCUGGCUUUACACAGAGAGAAUGAAGAGGGGACAAAGUCAGGUCUUCCUAGUGAUAUGGGAAUUACCUUUUCUCACUUUCCUCUGAAGAUACCCUCCCCAGUCCACCAGGCAACAACUGUCCAUAUGGACCACAUCUUAAAUUUACUUCCCUCUUUGGCAAUCCAGAAAGCUCUUAUCCUCUAAGAGUCUUCUCAGUAAAGUCUUCAUGUUCUUCCCAUGGUUUAUUGUUCCUUUACCUGCUCUCAGAGCACUCUGUGACACAUGGCACUAUGAUUUAUCACUCAGAUCCUCUUUUUUUGAAGGAUUUGUUGCCCCUAGUUGCUAGAAAUUCGGUGGGUAAAUAGCCAUCAGCUGUCAACCUCUCAGGGAUUACCCCAGUUACCUGUUAUUACCCUUUCUGGGUAGCUCGUGUUCUAUGACUGAUUGAUGUAGAGCUAACCGUAGGGUUUCUGAGGCUCAUCAGACCCAGCUUAACAUCUGUGUCCACUCUGCUUUCUUCUCUUCCCUUCCAGAGAUGUUGAUUGCAAGGGAAACCUGGAUUCUUGGCCCUGCCUCAGAGUCUGCUUCCUGGGGAGCCAAAGUGCCAUGUUCUCCUUUAGAUCUUUUCUGUGCCAAUUGUCUUGCCCAUUAGAUUGUGAGUUCCUUAGGGGCAGAAGCUGUACUUUAUUUAUUACCAAACUUAAUAGUGUUAAUCCCAUUAGCUUGGUGGAUGUCUGUUGGAUUAAUGAAUGUAGUUACUUAAAAUAUAUUGUGGAAAGAAAGGAACAGAGAGACUAGGUGCCUGUGGAUGUGAUACAUACUUGGUAUCUUGUGUUUAGUAUCAUAAUAUGCCUUUCCAAAAGAGUAUGUAUUUCUAUUAUCUCCCCACAAGCAACUCCCUCAUCCAAACUGGGAGUAGUAUGGAUUCCUUUCUCCUCCCCUAAAUUCCAUCCUACUAGACCAAAAUCUGGAGUUUGGAGUAUUUCCCCUGAGGAGCUAUUGAAAUAAAAUGAGAAACCUGCAUCAGUAGCACAGCCAGCAUAUAUAAUGACCCUGUGCCCUAUAGCUCCUUGCAAGUAUGGGUAUUUUUCUCUUAGUUUAUUUUGGUUUUAAUCUAAUUAAAGCAAUACUUUAUUUCAUAUAAGAUGAAUGUGUUGCUUACACCUGGCUAGGUGACUCUGAGGGGCUACCUGGUGGUGGCAUCCAUAGUGCUUUCCCACUAGAGCAAGGUCACGUAGAGUUAGGGUCUAAAGAUAGUAACAAGUUGAGGAACUUGGGAAGAACAGGGAUUCCUUUCAUGACUCUUUUGUGAAGACAAUUUAAAGAUAUGGGGCACCUUUCUCUAAGGAGAAGAUAAAGUUAUAUAUAUAUAUAUAUAUAUAUAUAUAUAUAUAUAUAAUCUCACAACAGGAGUGUGAACAGUACUCCCAGAAGGAAAGCUUUACAUGAGGGACCCGGUGAAUGCUUUGAGGCACGUUGGGUCUCAUAUUAUAACCUCCGUGGCUCUCAGGAUUACUAAGUCAGGGGCUUUCUUGCUAGACCUUCUAGUGGUUUGGAAAGAACAUAGUCCAAAGGAAAAAUUGUGAGGGUUCUCUCCCCUCAUAGAUAGUGGGUCCCCCUUCCCUUCCCUUUGCCUUGUCUCCUGACGUGGGCAGGCACAUCCCUCAUGUCAUGUGAAGCUCAGAAUGGUUUCCUCAGAUGUGACACUGGAGACCUUACUGAUGUGUUGCAGGGCAGCUGUGUUUACAUGAGCUUAACAUAUAAACAGUAGCUGCCAGUGUUGUACAAGCAGACUCAUAAGGUAAGAAAAAAGCAUAUUUAUUUGUAGCCUCUCAAUGUUCCUUUAUUUUCUGCUUACUAUUAUUGAUAGUUCCCUGCUGUUGGAUAAAAACUCCAGCAAGACCAAGAUGUUUUGCUUAUUCUUAGGUAUAAGGACAAUCCUUCAAUCUUUAAACAGUAUAUACUGACUUAAUUUAGCAAUUCAAAUAUUUGGUCCAAGAGAGCAAUUAAAACUCUGAACCUCUCUUCCUCCCUAAUGGGUCUUCCAGCUGGAAGCCAGCUGUGGAGAAUUCUGUGGUUAGAUUCUGCCUAGUCCCUGGGGGCCUGGCCCAUGAAGGGUAAAGAAGGGAAAGGUGAGGAAUAGUCUCACUUUGAGUGGGAUUAUCAUGGACCAGCCUUACAUUUUAGGAGCUGCCAGUCAUUUAAAUCUGACUCUUGAUUCCUUAGGGUGCUUUCAGAAGCAAUUCACAGCUCCCCACAAAGUAAUGCCCUUGGCAGUGCUGUUGGAUCCAAGUCAGGGCAUCUCUAUUUUGAGGGCUAGCUAGCAUUUCUUCUUCAGUCCCAAGACAUUUAUCUCCAAGUUCUUGCUGCUAGGAUCUCUCAGGAGGCCCAUGGGACAACAUGCAGGAUGACCCAGCCUAUUAUCUCUUUCCUUACGUCCAUUACCACAAUACUACACAACUCUUAUCCCCCAAAAUUUUGGGUACUGGUCAACCCUGCCACAGUAGCAGUCUCCUGACUUAGCUUCCUGAAAGCAAGUGGUUGGUGAAACAUUCAUUUUGUAGACUCCCAGAUUAGAGUAUCUUGGUGAAACUUGGAGAAUUGGUCAAAGAGCACCUCAAAGAAAGCUCACAAUACAAGCAAGAAAAAGCAGAGAGGAUCUAGGAAAAGUUAUCAGUUUAGAACUCCUGGAGUUCUGGAGAUUGUGUGUGUGUGUGUGUGUGGUGUGUGUGUGUGUGUGCCUGCGCGUGCAUGUGGUGUCUUAAGAAUGGACAUGGGUGGGCAUGGAAGUGGGGGUGGAAUGAGGUGAGAGAGAAUACUCAGAAAAUAGUUUGAGCUAGUUUGUGGCAGGUUUUACAUACUACUACAACAAGAGUUGCAGCUUUUAAUAUGUAGGAAGUAAGGAGUUAUCAAAAGAUUUGUAAAAGAGAUGACAUAGUGGGAUUCCUUUGUUUUUUUGUUUGUUUGUUUUGUUUUUGGUACUGGUGAUUGAACCCAGGGACAUUUUAUUAAUGAGCUCCAUCCCCAGUUCUUUUUAUUUUUUGAGACAGAGUCUUGCUAAGUUCCUGAGGUUGGCCUGAAACUUGUGAUCCUCCUGUCUCAAUUGUCCAAGUCUCUGGGAUUACAGGCAUGCACAACUGCACUGGCUCCUUUUAUCCCACAAAUAAUAAUAAUAAUAAUAAUAAUAAUAAUAAUAAUAAUAAUAAUAAUAAAUAAAAAUAAAAAAUUUAACAGGCAGUGUUUUCUAAGAAGGCAAAAGACCAAAAGAAGUCAUCAAUUGAAAGGGCCUAGGGGCAUUUUCAGUUUUCCAUGGAAAGAUAAUAAAUUUCUAUGGGAAAAACUCAAAGUGGAGAAUGAACCCUGUUCCUUUCUCUUCUGAAUAGGCUGCCAAAAGCCAAACCACUGGGAAGGAGGCUCUUGUGACUAGCCCAGGUACAGCUCUUCUCUUUGGUGCUUCAGGCUUAGCAUGGCUACCCAGGAGCGGGGUGACCACAGAAGCUAAGCAGGAGAAUGACCUGGAGGGGCAGGAGCUUCCCCUUCCCAGGCCCAGGGCAUCUGUAAAGCCAGACUUUCCUUCAGGGAAUGAAGGACACAGGUUGGGUGACUGGUCAGCAGAUAACCAUAUUCCUCAUGUCCCCUUCCAUUACCACCUGUAGUAUUCCAAUAUCUGAGAGAUUUGUCAGAAGAAUUCCUCUGUAAUUUAAAUAAUGUUCGAUUCUCCCAAGAAGCCAUAAGAAUUGGGAAUAUACUUUAUUUUACUCCAGAAAAUAUGUCUAGUUUUUUUGGCACCUACUGAAGAUAUGAUGCAUGGAAGAUUGAAAAAGAAAAACAACACUUUGACAAUUUAAAACAAAAGUCACAUCAACAUUUCACUUGUUAUCAAUGAUCUGAGAAUUUUAGAGACUCACUGGAUAAAAGAAGACCUUCUUUUCAUUUUCAUAGAAAGAAACAAUACAGGUUUGAGGGAAGUUUAACUGUAUUUAUUAUUAUUAUUAUUAUUAUUAUUAUUAUUUAAAACAGUAACUUUGAAUACUUAGAACUUAGGUUUGAAAGAUUAGUGGAGGUACAUUUUANGAUGAAUGUGUUGCUUACACCUGGCUAGGUGACUCUGAGGGGCUACCUGGUGGUGGCAUCCAUAGUGCUUUCCCACUAGAGCAAGGUCACGUAGAGUUAGGGUCUAAAGAUAGUAACAAGUUGAGGAACUUGGGAAGAACAGGGAUUCCUUUCAUGACUCUUUUGUGAAGACAAUUUAAAGAUAUGGGGCACCUUUCUCUAAGGAGAAGAUAAAGUUUUAUAUAUAUAUAUAUAUAUAUAUAUAUAUAUAUAUAUAUAUAUAUAUAUAAUCUCACAACAGGAGUGUGAACAGUACUCCCAGAAGGAAAGCUUUACAUGAGGGACCCGGUGAAUGCUUUGAGGCACGUUGGGUCUCAUAUUAUAACCUCCGUGGCUCUCAGGAUUACUAAGUCAGGGGCUUUCUUGCUAGACCUUCUAGUGGUUUGGAAAGAACAUAGUCCAAAGGAAAAAUUGUGAGGGUUCUCUCCCCUCAUAGAUAGUGGGUCCCCCUUCCCUUCCCUUUGCCUUGUCUCCUGACGUGGGCAGGCACAUCCCUCAUGUCAUGUGAAGCUCAGAAUGGUUUCCUCAGAUGUGACACUGGAGACCUUACUGAUGUGUUGCAGGGCAGCUGUGUUUACAUGAGCUUAACAUAUAAACAGUAGCUGCCAGUGUUGUACAAGCAGACUCAUAAGGUAAGAAAAAAGCAUAUUUAUUUGUAGCCUCUCAAUGUUCCUUUAUUUUCUGCUUACUAUUAUUGAUAGUUCCCUGCUGUUGGAUAAAAACUCCAGCAAGACCAAGAUGUUUUGCUUAUUCUUAGGUAUAAGGACAAUCCUUCAAUCUUUAAACAGUAUAUACUGACUUAAUUUAGCAAUUCAAAUAUUUGGUCCAAGAGAGCAAUUAAAACUCUGAACCUCUCUUCCUCCCUAAUGGGUCUUCCAGCUGGAAGCCAGCUGUGGAGAAUUCUGUGGUUAGAUUCUGCCUAGUCCCUGGGGGCCUGGCCCAUGAAGGGUAAAGAAGGGAAAGGUGAGGAAUAGUCUCACUUUGAGUGGGAUUAUCAUGGACCAGCCUUACAUUUUAGGAGCUGCCAGUCAUUUAAAUCUGACUCUUGAUUCCUUAGGGUGCUUUCAGAAGCAAUUCACAGCUCCCCACAAAGUAAUGCCCUUGGCAGUGCUGUUGGAUCCAAGUCAGGGCAUCUCUAUUUUGAGGGCUAGCUAGCAUUUCUUCUUCAGUCCCAAGACAUUUAUCUCCAAGUUCUUGCUGCUAGGAUCUCUCAGGAGGCCCAUGGGACAACAUGCAGGAUGACCCAGCCUAUUAUCUCUUUCCUUACGUCCAUUACCACAAUACUACACAACUCUUAUCCCCCAAAAUUUUGGGUACUGGUCAACCCUGCCACAGUAGCAGUCUCCUGACUUAGCUUCCUGAAAGCAAGUGGUUGGUGAAACAUUCAUUUUGUAGACUCCCAGAUUAGAGUAUCUUGGUGAAACUUGGAGAAUUGGUCAAAGAGCACCUCAAAGAAAGCUCACAAUACAAGCAAGAAAAAGCAGAGAGGAUCUAGGAAAAGUUAUCAGUUUAGAACUCCUGGAGUUCUGGAGAUUGUGUGUGUGUGUGUGUGUGGUGUGUGUGUGUGUGUGCCUGCGCGUGCAUGUGGUGUCUUAAGAAUGGACAUGGGUGGGCAUGGAAGUGGGGGUGGAAUGAGGUGAGAGAGAAUACUCAGAAAAUAGUUUGAGCUAGUUUGUGGCAGGUUUUACAUACUACUACAACAAGAGUUGCAGCUUUUAAUAUGUAGGAAGUAAGGAGUUAUCAAAAGAUUUGUAAAAGAGAUGACAUAGUGGGAUUCCUUUGUUUUUUUGUUUGUUUGUUUUGUUUUUGGUACUGGUGAUUGAACCCAGGGACAUUUUAUUAAUGAGCUCCAUCCCCAGUUCUUUUUAUUUUUUGAGACAGAGUCUUGCUAAGUUCCUGAGGUUGGCCUGAAACUUGUGAUCCUCCUGUCUCAAUUGUCCAAGUCUCUGGGAUUACAGGCAUGCACAACUGCACUGGCUCCUUUUAUCCCACAAAUAAUAAUAAUAAUAAUAAUAAUAAUAAUAAUAAUAAAUAUAAUAAAUAAAAAUAAAAAAUUUAACAGGCAGUGUUUUCUAAGAAGGCAAAAGACCAAAAGAAGUCAUCAAUUGAAAGGGCCUAGGGGCAUUUUCAGUUUUCCAUGGAAAGAUAAUAAAUUUCUAUGGGAAAAACUCAAAGUGGAGAAUGAACCCUGUUCCUUUCUCUUCUGAAUAGGCUGCCAAAAGCCAAACCACUGGGAAGGAGGCUCUUGUGACUAGCCCAGGUACAGCUCUUCUCUUUGGUGCUUCAGGCUUAGCAUGGCUACCCAGGAGCGGGGUGACCACAGAAGCUAAGCAGGAGAAUGACCUGGAGGGGCAGGAGCUUCCCCUUCCCAGGCCCAGGGCAUCUGUAAAGCCAGACUUUCCUUCAGGGAAUGAAGGACACAGGUUGGGUGACUGGUCAGCAGAUAACCAUAUUCCUCAUGUCCUCUUCCAUUACCACCUGUAGUAUUCCAAUAUCUGAGAGAUUUGUCAGAAGAAUUCCUCUGUAAUUUAAAUAAUGUUCGAUUCUCCCAAGAAGCCAUAAGAAUUGGGAAUAUACUUUAUUUUACUCCAGAAAAUAUGUCUAGUUUUUUUGGCACCUACUGAAGAUAUGAUGCAUGGAAGAUUGAAAAAGAAAAACAACACUUUGACAAUUUAAAACAAAAGUCACAUCAACAUUUCACUUGUUAUCAAUGAUCUGAGAAUUUUAGAGACUCACUGGAUAAAAGAAGACCUUCUUUUCAUUUUCAUAGAAAGAAACAAUACAGGUUUGAGGGAAGUUUAACUGUAUUUAUUAUUAUUAUUAUUAUUAUUAUUAUUAUUAUUUAAAACAGUAACUUUGAAUACUUAGAACUUAGGUUUGAAAGAUUAGUGGAGGUACAUUUUAACAUCCUAUUUGUUGGGGACCUUCAAGGAGAGAGAUGUUUCAGAAGAACAAAAUAUUCAGGUAUUUUAAGUAUACCCCUUGAGGGAUUUAACAUUUGUGUGGAACAUUUUUGAUGGAAGAUUUGCUCAAAUGUUUUGUGUAACCACUGCUUUAUGAGACAAAUGUAGUACAUAUCAGGUUCCAUCUGCUUUGCUGACUGGAGAAGGUUAUUGUGAAAAACAGUUAUUGGGUAGUUCUGAAUUCUGCCCUUGCCCUUUGAAGCUACCCAAGCUUGUUGGCUGCUUAUUGCUGCCCUCAAUGCACCCAGUAGUUGUUGUCCCAUAACCCUCCUGUUAGACAUUAGUUUUCUCUGUAUAGUUUCCUGGACAAGAGUUUGAAGAUGUUCUGUGAACUGUAAAGUGCGGUACCCAUAUUUGCUAUUGACAUUAGAGGUCUCAACCCUGGAAGAGAGUUGGGUUUGCUUAGGCUUGCUUUGAUUAGUCUUGCUUACUUGUAAUGUGAUGUCAAAAGAUCAGAAUUCAAGUUCCAUUUCUUCUUCUUGCUGCUACUUGGGCAAAAUUUCUGCUCCUCUGUGCCUUGAUUUUCCCACUAACAGUUAUAUAACAUUUCCCUGCUCAGGGCUGAGGAUCAAACUAUGUCAUACACUAUAACAUGUAGUGCCAACGAGAGCUCAUUUCACUAAAAACACCUGCCUGUGUUCAACUUUCACUCUAGGCAUUUAUUUUCCCAGGAGUAAGUUGGUCAGAGCAGUGUGAGUUGAUAAUGAGGAGAGCAGUUGUUUAAGUGAAGGGGUGACACUGGCGGAUGCAGCAGGAGAGUUUCAAGGUGAAGAGUUCUUCCUCUUAUGAAGCUUAGUGUCCAGGACUCUGUGGAGGAUGAGAAUCAGGAAAUGAAUCCUCAAAAUAUCUUCUAGUGAUGACGUUGGUUUACCAUUUCCCUUAUCUUGACAUUGUUCGGGAGUUAAGUGUCUCUUAUUAAGCCUUUAUUAUUUUAGUAUUACCAUCCCUUGAAGCUCCCUGGACACUUCUGAAAAGUGGCCAUGGGCUCCUUCAGCCCUAAAUGAACCUGAGCUCCACAGGUUGAGUAUCCCAUAUCUGAGAUGCUUAGAACUAUCAGUGUUUAAAUAAAAAAGAUAUAUUUUUUGUAUUUUGGAAUAUUUACCUAUAUGUAAUGAGCUAUCUUGGGGAUAGGACCCAAAUCUAAACAUGAAGUUAAUUUUAUUUCUUUUGCACCUCAUAGACAUAACCUAUAGGUAACUUCAUACAUUUUUGUGCACCUACAUUUUGGCUGUGAUCCAUGAUCAGGUAUAGAAUUUUUAGAAUUUUUCACUUGUGGUAUCAUUUUGGUGCCCCCAAAUUUUCAGAUUUUGGAGUAUUUUGGAUUUUUUAAUUAGGGUGCUCAAUUGUAAUAGGAUUCUAACCCCACUUCAUGGGCUUCCCCUGGUGCACAAAGGGAGGAAAGAAGGGGCCCUUCAGGCUCACUACUGACCCAUCAGUAUAAUGGGGAGCUGUUGGAUUGGAUUUCCUAUAUAAACUGGGACGCUGCUCAGAGACCAGACUCUUUUAGAUUCCCCUGGUUUGUAAAACUGUGUAGUAAGUAGCACAUCCUUAUUUUGUAAAUUCAGGUUUAACCACAAAUUAAUCAAACAGCUGUGCCUUGCUGGGCAAGGAGACAAGGAGAGGUCCUACCCUCUGAAGAGUACAUGCUCUUAAUAAGCAGAAAAAACUCCUUUUUGGGGGGGUGGGGGGCGCUUCUAACAACAUGUCAUGUUUUCUGGGGUUAGAAGGAGUUUGAGUAAGAAAGAGGAUCAGCUAAGUGUUAGGCCAGGUUCUGUUAGCCUUAACUGGAAGGACUCCUGAAAAGUUUUGAAAGGUUUUUUUUUUUUUUUUGACAAGAUUCGUCAGGAUUUCAGAUUAGGACACUAUGCAGAUUUUGAGUAUUGUACACUUUUGGACCACUGCUCCAGCAUGUGAUUAAAAUGAUCAAGUGACGAAAAUGUUGUUUUAAUGCUAUUAUAAAAUGAUAUCUUAGUUUAGACACACCCUUAGAAAAAUUCAGGUCCUUUCCCACAAAAAAUUGACAAGGAAACUCAUGUAUUUAAUGAAUUGGAUCACUACACUGGGGAGAAGUGAAAAGCUAAUUAAGAAGUAGUGGAUGGUAGAAAUGAACCUUUUAUCUUGGAGAUGUAGUAAAAGUAAACACGAAUAGUCUGUAGGAUUAAUGCAGCUGAAUCAUAAAAAAUAAACACAAAAUUCUUGUGGUUUGGGCAGCAUUAAGAUAAGCUCUUUCCUGUUUCAGAUAAAGAAUACCUCAAGGAAUCCAUACAAAUGUGUCUUAGGCCACCAUUCAUGUAUUUCUCCUUUCUUGCUUAACUGCCUAUUUCACAGGAGGUGAGAAUUAAAUGAGAGAAUGUGUCAACAUGGUUGGAACCAAAAAAAUCAUCAAAUAAAUGUUGUUAAAUUGAAUUCUGGACAGAAUUUUUCUUCUCCUUUCAUCUCCUUCCAUCCUGUCUGCUUAGUUGGUCUUACUGAGGACUGACUGUGUGCCCGGGGCUGAUGCUCAAGUGGCCCUGCUCGCCACAUCCUUUGCUCAUUCAUUUACUCAGUCAGUAUUUAUUGAGCUCCUACUAUGUGCCAGGCUCUCUUCUAGCCCUAGAGACUUGGGUGUUGAGGAUGUGAAAGUUGCUGUUUAUAUUCAAGGAUUAAUUAAUCUCUACCUUAAUAAAUAAGAAUUAUAAUUUUGAAAACUAUUAGGUGCUGUGAGGAAAGACAUAGGAUAAUAAUGGCAUAGAGAAUGGUGGGUGAGGAUUGGGGUUUAUUUCAUGUGGAAAGAUCAGGAAAGCUUCUCUGGAGGAGGGGCCAUUUUACAAGAGUUCUGAAUUAAGUAAAGAAUAGACUCACGAGAUGAUCCAGGCAAAGAAUAGACAACAGGCAGAGGAAACAAUAUGUGCAAAGAUCCUGAGGUGAGAACAAGCCUGGUGUGAGCUUAGGAGACCCAAGUGGCCCCAGGUGGUUGGAGCAAAGUGAGCCGAGGAGAGGCUGGUUGAGGGCUUAGAACAAUGUCUGGCCCUUAAGGAGAACUCAGUUAUAUCAGUGAUUAUUUGUAGUUGAGCUGAGAGAUGAUAGCUUAGCUUAAAAUGAUUACAGCAGGGGUGGUGACAAAUGCCAAAGACUAAAAUAAAAUCCGAAGAGGCUGUGCUAGCUCCCAAGAGUACAACCACUACUGAUGAUGGAACUCAAAGGUUUGUUUUUGCCAGGGCUUCUAGAUAGAUGGAUGUUGUCAGUCUCAUUCUAGUUUGGAUCUGAAUUUCUCAGUAUCUUCUCCACUGGUAUGUCUCUCACCUACAGUGACGCGUGUGAUGUAUAUUUUAUAGAGUGAUUGUGAGGAUUAAACAAGACCUGCGAUGUUAACCCCCUAACUUAAUGCCUAGUGAAUUUUAAGUUUUUGUAAGUAUUAGCUGUCAACACCUGAGCAGCUCCAUCUUCCAGCAGAACAGAUGCAAAUACCUACAAUUCCACAGAAGAGAGAUUGCCGUGCUUUCCCCCUCUUGUGAGGAUAGCUACAGAGAACAGAGGCCUCUGGGAACUGUCCUGAGGACAGCACCCUUGAAGAGGCUUGUCCUUGUGCCUUCAGACAUACUCCAAGCCCUUCCAAAAGACUCUGGUAGGAACUAGAAGAACAGAAGUAAAUAAAGGCAUAUGAUUAAAAAUGCAUUGAUAUUCCUACUUAUAGAACUUGCUAACCAUUUAAGAUUUUGAAAUGUGUUUAUUCUUGUUCCUUUUCUCACCCAUUUGGCUCUCAUGGGCCUGAAACCUGAGUAUUCGAGAUAGCAGGAGGACCUUGGAAGGCCCCAGAACUGUAGAUACCUAACUCCUCCGAGACCCUGCUCAACACCCCCGUGUGGUAGGAGAUAACAGGUAGCUGUUUUCUCUGCCAGGUCACAUUGCUGUUGGUUACUCAUCCACCAUGAGGUAACUUGCCUGGAUUAUUUGUUCUUAGAUAUAUGAGCCAUAAAUUCUUUCUUCAAAAGUUGUAAAGGCAAGAUACCAGCCAAUAACUCCACAUAAAAAGAGGCCUCCAUUUUCUCAUUCUUAGGGUUGGUAAUGAUUCUCGCUGUGAGCCAGUCAUUAUGGAAAUGACUCAGCCUUUCUCUCCUGCUUUAAUAAGAUUUUACUGUCUUUGGUCCUGACUCAAAGCGGCUCAGAGCAAUGCGGGGAGCAUAGAAGAGGUACUGGUGUGUGUCACUAUGUAACUGUUUACUCAACUUGGCCAGAUACUAUGCAAACAGGAUCCAUUCCAACCCACCUGCUGCAGCCCUAGUCCAGUUCACACAAUGGGCAUCCGUCACCCUCCUUCCUUACCUGCCAGGAAGCUGAGGCCACAGUUCUCCUUUCUCUUUAAAGGUUUAAAGAUCUAAAGAUGGUUAGUGAGCUGAACUCAAAAUAUGACAUCAGAGUUCUCCUUGCAUCUCUAACAUUGGCAAAACGAAAUUUCUUCUUGAGGGUCCCAGUGGGAGAAUAAUUCAGGCCAAAAUGUUCCAUGCAGACUCAUAACAGAGUUACUGUGGGGACUCUGUGUGUAUAGGGUUUAGUUGAAAUUAUCACUGUGGGCCACACCUGGGGAUCCUGGCAGUUUAGAACUCAGAGCCAGGGCCACACAUUUAUUUGGCAGACAAUGCCAAACAUCUACCCAGUGCCAGACAGUGCUAGGCUUUGAGGAUGGAGAGAUGAAAGACAUCGUCUCUCAUGCCAAGGUCCUCGAGGGAAUAGAAAAGAUGGCCUAAUGAAUCGGUCAUUACUUUCCUACAUUCAUAUAUGAAUACAUGACCAGUGUAUCUCCAUAUCAUGUACAGUCACAAGAACAGGAUGUUAUUCUCCAUGUAUGUAUGUCAAAAUACAUUCUACUGCCAUGUAUUAUAAAAAAGAACAAAUUAAAAAAUUAAAAAAUAUAAACCUCUCGAGGAAAGAGCUUGUCUCCCUUACCAUGGUACCUCCAGGGCCUACCAUAGUUCCUUGCACAGAGUAGGUGCUCAAUAAUCAGAGUAGGUGCACAAUAAUCUAUUGUGGAGGAGUUGUGAGCAUAUGACAGGAUACAGUGGUGAUAUGUGAUUAGUGCAAGAUAUCUCUGGGUGCUACAGAAGGGAGUACCUGACCACAUUGGUGGUCAAGGAGAUAUCCUAGGGGAAGGCAUGCCUAAAUGACUCCUGAAAGAUGAAGGAGCCAUGUAAUCAGAGUAGGGCCAGGAAGGAAGCAGGAGGACAUUUGUAGAGAGAGAAGCAGAUAUGGCAAAGAUGAGGAGCUGUGACCCUAAAUUCCAUUUUUGCUUCUUCCUGGCACAGAGCUAGAUUAUACUCCAGGGUGCUCCUUAUAUUUAAGUGUGACUCAGACUGAAUUCUGGCCAAUGGAAGGUCUGUAGAGGUGAUGGGCUGGGCUGGCCCAUAAGAAUCCUUCCUGUCUUCUGUUCCAGGUGCUUCCCUACGUCUACCCAUUGGGAGCUGGAAGGAAUCAGAUCACAAAGGCUCCUGGGUGCCACUUGAAGGAACUCCAAGUUAUGGAGCAGGUGAUAAGCAAUUGAACAGAGAAAUUUCCAUUCUUAGCUCUCAGAACAAUGGAAGUAGCCGGAUAUUAGUGACAAAGUUAAACUUUACCUGAGCUUAAGGAAUCCGCCCCCCUUACUUCUGUUUUCUGAAGCCCUCCCUCCAUCCUUUUGAAUUCGAAGUCAAACCUCAAAGGACUGCCCUGCCCUUGAAUAUUUUGAGUAAGUUCUGCCUCCGUCCUUCCUAAGACUGACUGAAGGAUAACUCCUUUGUUCACUGGAGUCCCUUUCUUUGCUUUGAGACAUUUCUCCUCUGUGCAUGUUCUCCCUGUUGAAAUAGCCAGAAUAGAAGCAUUUCCUUAAUGGUCUUGUGCAUUUCAUCUUUCACGUUAACACUGAGCUAGGAGUCAAAAGACUUUUAAGUGAAGAUUGCUUUCACUUGAGAGCACACCUACAUCCUGCUUUAUUUUUCUUCAACAGGCUUUAUUAUUACAUAUUUAUCACUGUUUUCCAUUAGACUAUCAACUUCUCAGGGUGGGUGGGGGAGGGAAGAGUAGAAAUACUUUGGAUUAGGGUAAUAAAGGGUAAUAAAGGGAAAACGGGGAUGGGAAUAGAAAAGAUGGCCUAAUGAAUCGGUCAUUACUUUCCUACAUCCAUAUAUGAAUACAUGACCAGUGUAACUCCAUAUCAUGUACAGCCACAAGAACAGGAUGUUAUUCUCCAUGUAUGUAUGUCAAAAUAAAUUUUACUGUCAUGUAUUACUAAAAAAGAACAAAUUGAAAAAAUUAAAAAAUAUAAACCUCUCAAGGGAAGAGCUUGUCUCCCUUACCAUGGUACCUCCAGGGCCUAGCAUAGUUCCUUGCACAGAGUAGGUGCUCAAUAAUCAGGACAAAUUAAGGAAUGACAGUCACCCAUCCCUCCUGUGCUUUCUACCAUCCUGCCUCAGCCCCACUUGAAUUUGUCUCUGUUUCUCUCCCUCUUGUUCUGUGUGUCUUUGCCUUCUCUGCUCCAAUCUCUCUCUACUUGCCUACCUCUCUCCUGUGUCCCUCUUUCUGGAUCUUUUUCUUAAUCCUUCUCUUCUUGCUUUCCCUCCUUGGGUCUUGGGCCUUGGGACUGGCAGUUACCUCUUAUCCACUCAGCCAGGGUAUUUCCUUGGUCAGGUACAGUGGGGAGGUCUCCAGGUAGGAAUACAGAGUGGCUCAACAGGAUCUGGGUUUGAAUCUGCUGAGUCAGUACAACUUUAUUAACUUUGGACAUGCAUUUUGGCCAAAGUUAAAGAUUCAUCCCAAGUUGACCAAGUCAGCAUUUCAGCAACAACCAAGUGGUUAAUAAGUCUUGUUCGAAGCAGGGUGCUGACUGUGGAGGAGGAGAAAAGAACCCAGAUGAGGCUCCUGCCUUCCAGGAGCUUCCAAUCAACUAGCCUUGGACCUCUAAGUGAGUCAGAUAUUUUGAUUAAUAAAACCUGCAGUAUGAUUGCUGCCUUGUCCUCCACAGGCUCAGAAAGUUGCAUGUGUUAUGUGUUAGCGUGUGAUGCUCUGGGGGCACAGUGUGAGGUGGGGAGCCAGCUUGAACUGAAGGCAGAAAAAAGAAGAUGGUAAAUUUGUGCUUUCACCAGGCCCAUGGUGAUCCAUCAUGCAUGAAACCUGUUUACACUGGCACCCAGCUGAAGAAUCCAUGGAAUUCCUUUUGUAACUGCUUUUAUAAAUACGUGGGCCUGAAUCUUUUUGGGAAUUGCUGAGAGAAUCAUGCAACCUCCUAAGGCAGGUUUUUGUAGUUCUGCAAAUUUAGGGAGGCAGAGAGGGGGGAAAAAUAUGUUCUUGAGCCUUGGCAUGUGGUUUAGGGGGAAAAGUGACAGCAAUGAGGAAAGUGAGUAGAUAUUCUACCCAGAGAAUGAUUCUUGGAACAAAAAAGGAUUUGAGGGCGGAAAGAAGCCAUCAGCAGAAAGGAGUGCGUGGGUGUUCUCUGGGGUACCUCCCAGGCUCCUUCAGGAAGACAGCUAUGAUUUUACAGUCUUGAGGUUGCCUGUCCACGCUCCCCAGCUUUGCACCCAAGAUCCGCAGAAUAUACCCCUACAGAGGCGUGCUGAAAGCUUGUUCGUUUAGUCACUCUUUCCUUAUCGAUGACGGUCUCCCUGCUCACAUUUCACUCCCGCUGCUGACUCACAAGUUGCCUUAAAAACAGCAGUUUUUACACCUUGGGAGGAUAAUUUCAUAACUCCAUGACUGCUGGCUGGGUCUGCCUGUGUGCUGUUUGAGUUGGUGUGUCCAGGAGAGCGAUAACUACCCAUCUGAAGCCAAAGUUCAUGGUCCAGGUUAAUGGAUAUUUAAUGCAAACUCCUGAUUCCAUUUCCAAAUCUCCCUCCCCCACCAAUGAGGCUAUUUAGAAAAUACCCAAAUGGCAAUACAAUUUUUUUUUUUUUUUUGAUUGAUUUGGCUUGUGUCUCUUUAUUAAAAAUAUUUUCUGGGUUUCCCAUUUCAGUAUUAAGAUGCCUUAAUUUAUUGGGGUUCAAUAAUAAUAAAGCAAAACAAUGAGUCUUGGAGGGAGCAGAGUGAGAAGGGCCCAAUAUUUCUGAUAUUUAUUGACCAUCUGUCUACCCUGUGCUAGACACCACAGGUAUUUUGCAAAUGGCAUCUUAACAGUCAUAGGAGGUUCAAGAAAGUGACUUAAUCUCUUUUCAAAGUUGGAGGAAGUGGGGCCCAGAAAGGCUAAGAGCUAUAUGCAAGUUCUCACAGCCAAUAGAAGACGGGGCCAGCACCAGAAUCCACAUCUGCACGACUUCAAAGCCAAUGUCCUAUCUACCACUCCAGCCUCUCCACAUAAUGCAGGCUGACUUCACUUGACCGGUGGCUGCCCAGGCAGUGGCUAUUGCUUUUUUUGUCUGUGCACGCUAAGUCUUUUGUGCAGAAAAGGAGAACUUUGUGUUUAACAAUAAGAACACGUUUAGAAAUAGCUGCUUUAUGGUGUUCAGACUUCUCAAAUCCAUGCCAUUUAAUUCUUACCGCAAUCCCACAGGGUAGGUAUCGUUAUUAGGAGCCAUGGGGAACACCUCUUGGGUUGGCCAGCCCAGCAUUCACCUCUCUGUCUUCUGGUACCAUCACCUUGGCCGUCCUUAGGGGAUCACUUUUCCUCCAUCCUCAGUCCAUGUGCUUUGACUGGGGCUGACCCCACUGACUGGCUCUUGGGGACUAGAUUGAAAGCUAUUUAAUGAGAACAGCUGGUCUGUAGUUGGUUUAGGAGUGAGCCCAUGGCUUAGCUGGAUAAUCAGGGCAAAUGAGCAUCGGCUACUGAACUUUAGCAACAACAAUAGGAAAUCAGAGCUUGCUUUCCGGUGGUGUUGCAGAAUAGGAAGGGCUGAGGGAUGUCUGCCGAAGUUGAGGAGAACUGGCCUGAGAAUGGAACUAAUCCAGAGGAAAACAGAGCUGAAGAAGAGGGAGGAGACAUGUCUCUCAUGACACUGUCUGGGUGCCCAAAGUCCAGCAGUGUCAAAAUCCAGGCUCCCCUGUUACAAAUAAGCUAAUAAAUUUGAUUUUGCUUAAGCAGGUUUAAGUUGAGUUUCUGUCCCAUUGUUAUGUAAUAUUUAAGUUCUUGCUCCCCACCAUCCAAAGAAAUUUAAGAUUACUAUUUCAUCACUGUCCACCUUACUGACCAUUUAUUUAAUUGUGGAUUCUGGGGAUACAAGAGUCAUCUAGUCCCAGAGAUGUUUCCUAUUUUGUUAUGGGAUGGUAGAGAGAGUUGCUGAUAACAAGAUAUUAUGGAUUAAAGUUGUCCUAAAAUCUAUUCUCCCACUUUCCCUUUCUUUCCCUCAAUCUCUCUGUCAGUGGAAAGGACACAACGGAGUCAGAGGAAUUGACAGAACUGGGGAAUAAGGGAGAGGUGGUAUUUGGGUAUAUCGUCUGUUGGCAGGGGGACGGGACCUUCAUGCGAAACGCAUGUUGGGCAAUAUUAAAUGUGACACUGGGCAUUUGGUGAGAGGUCAGAAAUGAAUAUGUAGUUUUAGGUGACAUACAUAGAGGUAAAAGGUGAAAUUUCAGGACCCUGGGCAAGGAUAGGAAUGGAGAAGUUUAGAACUGAAGGGUGCUCAGAUGAUUGCGAGAUGGAGAGGAGGGGUUAGCAGAGAGAUUUCAUAGCUCUUAAUCGGCUUAGCCCAGUGUUAUUUGGGGAGAAACUCAUGGCAUAAAAAUUUAUUUUAUACCAGAGAAGGGAGUCUUCAAACACAUCAGUGUUCAGAAAAUGCAGAUUCUUGUUGGUCAUAAAAUCCAUAUUCUUCCAUAACUCAUUUAUUCCUUUCGUAGUUAAAAAAAAAAGUAAGCAUUUAAAGCAAAGUGCCUUCUACAAGUUUGGUCAUAGUAAAUAUUUUCCACUUUGGAAACAAUUUCAGAAUGUUUGAGAAUGAAAUAUUUUUUCAUGUGUAAUUUGUGCAGGCUAAAUUUGGAAUAAACACAACAUAAAAUGUCUACCCAAAAGAUAGGACUGAAAAAUUAUUUUGGAGCAGAGCCUUAUUAAGUUUUCAUGGACAUCUAGGGUCUUUUGAUUAUUCUGAGAAGUCUGCAGGCUUGAAAGCGCAUUAUAUGAGAAGAUCAUUCACUAUUAUGGAACUGCUGAUGGAAACUUGUACAUGAGGAUUUUGUUUCCUGGCAUUACAGAGCAAACCCUUACUUGCGUAGAAAGAAGAAAAGAGACAGGGGGACAGAUUGCAUCGGGGAUCAUUGUAACACACCAAGAGUUGUGUUAUUGAAUCCAUUUAGUUUUGGUACACAUUUGUGCAGGAUGAUGUUGAUGAUAUUAUUAGUGUUUUUUUUAACAAAGUUCCUCAAAAAUAAAGCUCAGAUUGUUUGUGCAGAGCUCUGCACCUGACACAGAACCAAGCACCAUUUUGAAGGUAAGGACUCACUAGGGGGUGGAUGGUUUUUCACUGUGUUGAAGGUCCCAUCACUGUAGGAUGUUUAAUAUCCUCAUUCCUUCUACUAAAUAUUGGCAACACUAUUCAAAUCAUUGUGAUAACCAUGACAUCUCCCAUAUUACCAAACGACCUCUUCUUAGUCAGUGACUACUGAAGAAUUGCCACUUUGAGAAGUCAGCUUUGGGGACCUCAAAGGAGUAGGAAACCUACACCGGAGAUCACCUAGCUCAACUUACCCCACCAUCUCUGUUGAUCAUGGUUAUGCUGCUCACCCCCUCUUUGCUUGUCAGGCAGAAAUCACAGGUACUUUGGAACAGUGUCACUCAUGACCAUCAUCCACCCCAGAUUUCUUAUCAGAUUACAUGCAAAUGUUAUAUAGAUCUGCUGCAUUAGAGUGAAGGCUUUGGGGUUAUUCACUGGGAAGAUAAAGAUUCCAGAAUUCAGAAACUUAGGAAGUGGGCUGGAGCCAAACAAACUUCUUAGGGCGACAUGUGGCUUCUGAAACCUUUCCUCUGGGUAUGGUGUGGAUGGAAAAGAUGAUCCCUCAGCUCAUGCAUCCACCUUUGCACUUUGUCCUGCCCCUGAAAAGCUCACAAGUCCAUCUCUCCAGGUCUCCUCCGUCUAGAUUUCUCAAACUCAGCAGUUCCUGUACCAUAACCCUCUUCCCCAAUGGUACUGUUGCCUGGAGCCCUGACACAUGCAUACUUUGAUAUCUGGAAUCUAGUGAUUUUGGAGGGAUAACAUUUUAAGGAUUUUUUUAGAUGAGUUACAAAACUUGGUUUCAGCAGUAGAAUAUUGGAAAUUCCCAGGGCAAUUUGGCCACCCUAAGGGCAUUAAGCUGUAAUCGUCCCCUAUCACCCAAAUCAGCUAGGCCUCAUUGCCCCUUCCCUUAUUUCUAAAAAGGACAAAACACCCAUCCCAUGACUGAUCAUUCCAUUUUCCAGUGCCCCUGGAUCAAGAAGGUAACCCAGUCAGCAGCCAAUGUAGGCAUUGUUUCCUGUUUGCUUGUAACUGUUUCCAUGGAAAGUUUAUUUAAAAUGCAAUAGCUAUUCAGUCUUCAGGAAUAUAGAUAUCUGGACUGCCUCAAGGAAUAUAGAGAAUUCAUGAAGGUUUCCAGAAAUUUGAAUAAAUAAUAGUGGUGAAAAAGAGAACAGUCAUUGGCUUUCUGGAUUCAAGUUCAAGCUCUCUCUACUGGCUGUGUGACUCUGGGCAACUUACUUAAUUUCUCUUACCCUCAUGGUGUUCAGCUUUAAAAGAGGAAUAGCAACAUUAAUUAUGAUAAGGGAGGUUUACUGAGAAAAUUACAUUAAAUAAAGGAAGUGAGGAACUUUACUAAUUCCUAGAAUGUAACAAGUAUCAAUACAUUGUGUUAUGAUGUAAUUUAUGAUUUUCCUACAGAAAGCAGAACAGACACUUGAGAAAAAAAGUUUUGUGGGGAAGGGAAAGUAAAGGGAGAGGAGAGGUGAGGCUGAAGAAGUAAAAAUCUUUUCUACAAUUCAAACUUGUUAACUCUAAGAAUAAUUUUAUGGUUUCAUAGAAAAAUUAGAGCUGGGGGGGAAAAGAAAAAGAUUUAUAUAUGGUGACCUAUAGGGAAUUAAUAAUUGCAGUGACUUUAAGAAGUAAGAUUUUGGGCUGGGCCUGGGACUCAGUGGUACAGUGCUUGCCUAGUAGGUGUGAGGCACUGGGUUUGAUCCUCAGCACCACAUAAACAAAUAAAAUAAAGGUAUUGUGUCCAUCUACAACUAAAAUUAUGUAUAAAGAUAAGAAUUUGAAAGCAUUUGAAUUAAGAUACUAGAAUUCAUAGCAAGUCUCCUUGCCCACCAAUAAGGCAUGUUAAUCUGGAUUCUUUAGAGAUCAAAGAAAUUUCUUAAAUUCCUUUGAGGGCAGUAAAGUGGCCCUGGUCUUCAGCAGCCCCAUUUAAGGGAGCAAGCUCCAAAGCCCCCAGAUUGAACCAAGGAUAACAAAGCGCCUGUCAUUCCACCCACUGUUUGCUAGAUCAGAAUGGCACAAAGAAAUCAGGGUUUGUCUCUUCAAAGAGCAGGCCAGAAGCAGAGUCCUGAGGCUGUGUAGAUUGCAGUUAAUGCCUGAAGGAAUGUGUUAGUGCUGCUUUUAUUUUACUUCAAUGUGCACACCACACACACACACACACACACACACACACCAGUCCCUGAAGGUUGUGUUUCCUGUUAAAAAGCCCUGUGAAAGGUAUGUCUAGGGAUUCUGGAGAAUUAGGACAUAUGAGCAGCCUCUUAUGGACAAGGAGGAGACAGAAUGCAGGUUGUUAGUGAGGUGAUGGAGUCUAAGUCCCAAUCCUCCUUCGGGGUCACAUUUAGUUCUCCUUUCUUCCAUGAAGCAUUUUUUUUUUAAAAAACAUUUUUAGUUACAGAUGGACACAAUACCUUUAUUUUAUUUAUUUAUUUUUAUGUGGUGUUGAGGAUCAAACCCAGUGCUUCACAUGUGCUGGGCAAGUGCUCUACCACUGAGCUACAACUCCGGUUCCCAUGAAGCAUUUUAACACUGGCCAUAUUGAGAAUAAUGACAAUGAUGUAUUAAUAAUUGGCAAUAACAUUACUAAUAUUAACAAUUAAUUAGUAACAAUAAUAAUUACCCUUAAUUUAAUACCUGAUGUAUACUAGACAUUGUGCUAGGAGCUUAAUGUUGAAUAUCUUUUUCUUAAUAAUAGUCCAAUCUUAGGAAAAAAAUCCAACAAGCUGACUGUAUAUUACCUCUAAUUCUUAUACCAAGCAAGACAAGUCUUAUCCUGUUUCACAAGAGAGGGGAAUAGGCUUGGAGAGGUUGUGUGCCCAAGGCCACCCAGUCUACUUCAUACAGAGCUGGAAUUUGGACACUGACCUUCUUGAAAACAAGGGUCUUGAUAUGUACCUCUUUUGUAGAUGACUUCAGCCCAUUGUCUGCAGAAGGUCCUCAAAAAAAUGUUAAUUCAUUAUGUAAUACCAACAAAUAUUUACCAGCUACCCCCAGGGGUGAUACUACACUAAGUGCCUAUGUGUGUAUAUCCUGGGGGUGGCAUAACAUAAUCUGGACAUGGUCUCUGAAAGAGCUCUGGUCAUCAGUAUGCACCUGCCAUGUGUUGCCAGCAGCUGUGUGGCCUGUCUCUAACCUCAUUCUUCCACAUCCAAGAGGAUGCCAGGAUUAGAGCUGGAAUAGACUCACACACUGUCUGGACCAAGCCCUGCAUUUAAUAGAUGCUCCCAUUCAUAAAUCUAUAGAGCGAAGCUCAGAGAGGUUGAGUUGACUAAGUUCACAAAGGCAGAGAGUGGCACAAGUGGGAAAUGAAGGCAGCCACCUCCUAAGCCCUCACCCAUCCCUUUUCCAUUAGAUAAUAGCAAGAUAGGGCAUGAGGGAAGAUCGACUCAGAAUGGGCCUCCUCUUGCUUAACUAUCCAUGGGGAUGCUGAGCCUGGUAAGGUCUGCCAGGGGUCAGGUUUUCUCACAGAUUAACAAUGUGAAUCAAAGGAGGUUUAUUUCUUGAAAGUUUUACUCUGUGUGUUCCCUUAAGACCCACUGUAAUGUUUACCCAAACAAGGUACAAAUUUGUGACAGAUUUCUCUAUAUUUGGUUUGUUUUAUGUGCUUCAGACUUCAUCUUUUAUCCCUAUCUAAAUAUUACAGAAUGGACUAAAGGUAGGCAUAUCUUGGGAAGUAUUUAAAAAUAUGAGUACAAGCCAGGUGCAGCGGCAAAUACCUGUAAUCCCAGCAACUUGAGAGGUUGAGGCAGGAGGAUGGCAAGUUCAAAGCCAGCCUCAGCAUCGGCGAGGUGCUAAGCAGCUCAGUGAGACCCUGUCUCUAAAUAAAAUACAAAAUACGGCUGGGGAUGUGGCUCAGUGGUAGAGUGUCCCUGAGUUCAAUCCUUGGCAAACCUCCCCCUCCCCCCCCAAAAGAAUACAUACAGUUGAACAGAUUUGAUUUUAUAAAGUAACUUCUUCAAGAAGGCAUUACCAGCAAAAUUUUAACUCCCCUGGCAGAGAGGCUUAGAAAAAAAGUUCCUGUUUCCCUUCCCUCCAUCAUCCCUUCCACUUAGAGCUUCCUUUCCAAGAAUAAAACGGCCCUACCUGUGUGAGUUGGCCAGGCUGCUCUGCAGCCAAAGAAUCUGGGGGCUGGCUCAGUCCCAGGCACUGCCACACCCAGGAUGGCUGCCACACCCAGGAUGGCUCCCCCCACCCCUGCAUUUAUCUGUGGGGGCCCAGCGCCCCGCUGGGGAGGAGAGGUGAGUUUGCUGGUGUGACUCAUGUCAAGGAAGUGGGAAGCCCAGACACAUUUGGCUCAUCAGUUCCUUCUAAGUCCUAGUCCAGGCUUACUAAAGCCAGGGAGUGUGUGCAGACACUGGAAAACUCAAGGCAGUAACUGGGAGGCCUGGGGGAACCAGCCAUGUAAGAUGGGUGGGUGACACACAUGACAUGACAGUUGGUGCCAGCAAGUUCUCUUCUUUUUUUCUUCUUUAAAUGAUUAGGAAAUUCUUUAGAAGGAUGAGAUAAGAUGGGUUCCUCAAACUUAUUCCCAAGCUGAGAUCCAUUCAGGAUUCUGUAAUGUCCUUUUGGGUCCCUCCCAUGUAUAAUAAAUAAGUGCUCUAAUCAAAUAUUAUUACAAUGUGGAAGCAACGUCUAGGGUGGGCCCUGAAGAGACAGCAUUUAGAAGAGCCCUGUUCUGGGUCCCAGUUCUUAGCACAGGGUAAAUUAUCAGUCCAGGGCUUGACCUUCUGUCCUUAAGGAUAGGCCCAGCUCCAAGCUGGAAUCAAAGUUUCCCUCCUUAUCCUUGAGGCAUUUAGCACUUGAGGAGAUGGAUAAUAAUUUACCCCAGGACAGUGAUAAGAGCUCACUGCUUGCACAAAUUAUUCACUGGAGUUUGCUUUUCUCCUGAAUUUAGGCUUGAUGGAAUCCUGAAGAAGUCAAUUUUUCUUGAGCAUUUUUCUCUUUCUUUCUGACUCUUCCUUCUACUGUGGGGUUUAAGGGGGAUGACAGAGAAGGAAGCAAAUAUGAAAUGUGUUGAAUGAGCAGGUUCCCUUGUGGACAACAGCUCUCAUCUCACUGGAGACCUCGGGGAGAUGGGGUACAACUUGCCUAACCUUGUCCACUGGACAGUCGAUGAAGCUGGGGGAUGUGAUUACAAGUUCCCAUCUUUUUGUCAUUGGCAUUAACUCCCCAGCAAGUCUGGCCUGCCCCUGCUGUGACCAGAGACACCUAACUGAGAAAUCCUGCAGGCAGCAUAGCAUCCAUGGGAGGUCAAACCACCUCAGGACAAGAAGAAAAGCAGCAGACCAUGUGGGAAUGGCCGUGAUAAUACCUAUUGGGAAAGAGGAAGGAGGACCCAUGAAUGUCAUCCUCAAGGCCUUGCCUGGGAGUAAGCGGGGGAGGGGUGGCCACAGUGGACAGGGACAGCUCUCUCUCUUUUUUUUUUUUAAUUUUUUAUUGUUGGCUGUUCAAAACAUUACAUAGUUCUUGAUAUAUCAUAUUUCACAAUUUGAUUCAAGUGGGUUAUGAGCUCCCAUUUUUACCCCAUAUACAGAUUGCAGAAUCACAUCAGUUACACAUCCAUUGAUUUACAUAUUGCCAUACUAGUGUCUGUUGUGUUCUGCUGCCUUUCCUAUCCUCUACUAUCCCCCCUCCCCUCCCCUCCCCUCCCCUCCCCUCUUCUCUCUCUGCCCCCUCUACUGACAUUCGUUUGUCCCCCUUAUAUUAUUUUUCCCCUUCCCCUCACUUCCUCUUGUAUGUACUUUUGUAUAACUCUGAGGGUCUCCUUCCAUUUCCAUGCAUUUUCCCUUCUCUCUCCCUUUCCCUCCCACCUCUCAUCCCUGUUUAAUGUUAAUCUUCUUCUCAUGCUCUUCGACCCUACUCUGUUCUUAGUUACUCUCCUUAUAUCAAAGAAGACAUUUGGCAUUUGUUUUUUAGGGAUUGGCUAGCUUCACUUAGCAUAAUCUGCUCUAAUGCCAUACAUUUCCCUGUAAAUUCUAUGAUUUUGUCAUUUUUUAAUGCAGAGUAAUACUCCAUUGUGUAUAAAUGCCACAUUUUUUUUAUCCAUUCAUCCAUUGAAGGGCAUCUAGGUUGGUUCCACAGUCUAGCUAUUGUGAAUUGUGCUGCUAUGAACAUCGAUGUAGCAGUGUCCCUGUAGCAUGCUCUUUUUAGGUCUUUAGGGAAUAGACCGAGAAGGGGAAUAGCUGGGUCAAAUGGUGGCUCCAUUCCCAGCUUUCCAAGAAAUCUCCAUACUGCUUUCCAAAUUGGCUGCACCAAUUUGCAGUCCCACCAGCAAUGUACAAGUGUACCCUNAACCAAGAAUUGUGUUUCCAGCGAAAUUAAGCUUCAGGAUGGAAGAUGAAAUUAAAACCUUCCACGAUAAACAAAAGUUAAAAGAAUUUGCAGCUAGAAAACCAUCUCUUCAAAACAUCCUUGGCAAAACAUUACAGGAAGAGGAAAUGGAAAAUAACAAUGAAAACCAACAGUGGGAGGUAGGACACUAAAGGGGGGAAAAUAAUCAAAGAGGAAAACAAACCAUGUUUAGUAACAUAAAUAAACAAAUAUGGCUGGAAGAACAACCCAUAUCUCAAUAAUAACCCUAAAUGUUAAUGGCUUAAACUCACCAAUCAAGAGACACAGGCUAGUAGAAUGGAUCACAAAACAAGACCCAACAAUAUGCUGCCUACAGGAGACGCAUUUGAUAGGAAAAGACAUACAUAGGCUGAAGGUGAAAGGUUGGGAAAAAUCAUAUCACUCAUAUGGACUUCGGAAACAAGCAGGAGUAUCCAUACUCAUAUCAAAUAAAAUAGAUUUCAAGCCAAAGUUAAUCAAAAGGGAUAAAGAGGGACACUACAUACUGCUCAAGGGAACCAUACACCAACAAGACAUAACAAUCAUAAAUAUAUAUGCCCCAAACAAUGGUGCAGCUAUGUUCAUCAAACAAACUCUUCUCAAGUUCAAGAGUCUAAUAGACCACCAUACAAUAAUCAUGGGAGACUUCAACACACCUCUAUCACCACUGGACAGAUCUUCCAAACAAAAGUUGAAUAAGGAAACUAUAGAACUCAAUAACACAAUUAAUAACCUAGACUUAAUUGACAUAUAUAGAAUAUACCACCCAACAUCAAGCAGUUACACUUUUUUUCUCAGCAGCACAUGGAUCCUUCUCAAAAAUAGAUCAUAUAUUAUGUCACAGGGAAACUCUUAGACAAUAUAAAGGAGUAGAGAUAAUACCAUGCAUCCUAUCUGAUCAUAAGGGACAGCUCUCUUGAGAGAAGUUUCCUUGUGUAAAUACAUAAACACUCAGAGAAAAGGUUUGAAUUAGCUCUACACAUGUGUGAAGAGGUUUGCUAGGUCCAAAGAUGGCCUCAGUGUAAGCUGAAAGUCUUGCUUAUAUGGUUCUUGCACAAGCCUACACUGGUGGUAGGAACAGGUGCUGGCUAGGGAAUCUUCUUAGGUCCUGCUUUUCAUUCUCAGGUAUUCUCUGGGGCCCAGCAUCCAUCCGGACUUUCUGGAGCCUGCUCUACACUCUAGUAUCAGGGAGGGUUUCAGUGCUUGUAUCUAUCUUCUAUCUUCUAGCAGGUAGAAGUUUCUGUGACCUAGAAAAAGAUGUGUGAGAGGCCUCAGCUGGGUGUGAUAAGCCAGCUGUUGGGAACGACCUGAGCUGGUAUGCAUGUCUCAACAGUAGGCUAGCAAAAUCCAAGUCUAGCUCCUCCAUCAAGGUCUAGACUUGGCCUAUAUGCACAUUGGAAGUAAUUCUGUCUGGCCUGCAGGUGGCAAGGACUUUGUAGUACUUAUGAGCUGUUCAUUAGCAUUGGAAGAAAUCAGCCCAAACCCUCGAGGGAGAGCAGGGCAAGACAGAGGAGGCUGCCUUUGCCCUGUGCCAGUGGUUGUCUGAAUAGUUUGGUGCUUGGUCAGCCACCUUCCUGUUUGUGGAGUCUGUGAUGGCCCUUGUCACUGCUGGCUUGGGAGCUGGACAGGGGCCUAGGACUGAGCUGGCAGCAGCUCCACCCUACCCCCAGGUACUGACUGCUAUGAAGGAAACCUACAGGGCCAGCCUCCAUCCUCCUCCUGAUAAGAUUAGGUUGAUGCUCCCAUGUGUCUUCUGCUUAACUGCAUCAUACCUGGGCUUUUUCCUCAGUAGAGAGCAGAGAGAAGAAAGAAAGGUAAAAAUUUCUCUCUUUGGCAAAGUGCUCCUUCUAUGGUUAGACCCCAGCUCUCUGAUCAGGUAGAGGAGAUGCAGGAGCUUUUGGAGACUGGUCUCCAUCAACUCAGAGAUCCUGGAUUCCCCAACAAUCUUGCCUAAGAAGAAAGAAAUCAAAGCUAAACUCUAAGCAUUGUCUCAGAUUACAGGGACAACGUCUCCCUCUGUCACUUCUGCAGCUUUCCCACACUGUGGGGGGAUUGGGUCCUUGAUGAGCUGGUAAGGUUGUCUGAUGAUGGCUUAUUUUAAGUGGUGAGGAGACUUCUGGGAGGGAAUUUGUUUUGGAAAGAAAGCAGGCACAGUGGUUCAAGCCAGGAGCAAAGUGGCAGGUGUUGGAGGCAAGGAAGAUUCUGUCUUCAUCUGUGUUGAAUCUGUCCUCAGCACACAUUAUCUGGGUCACAGGGGAAAAAAAAGCCUACCAGUAAAACAAAACAUAUAAAAUAAAUUGUUCCUUAAAAAUCCAAGCUUUGCAAUAAAAGAGAAUAAAAUCAUUGCACUUGUAGGUAAAUGGAUGGAGUUAGAGAAGAUAAUGCUAAGUGAAGUUAUCCAAUCCCCAAAAACCAAAUGCUGGAAUGUUUUCUUUAAUAUAAGGAGGCUGAUUCAUAGUGGGAUAGGAAGAGGGAGCAUGGGAGGAAUAGACGAACUCUAGAUAGGGCAGAGGGGUGGGAGGGGAAGGGAGGGGCAAGGGGUAAUUAAUGAUGGUGGAAUGUGAUGGACAUUAUUAUCCAAAGUACAUGUAUGAAGAUACAAAUUGGUGUGAAUAUACUAUGUACACAACAAGAGAUAUGAAAAAUUGUGCUCUAUAUGUGUAAUAAGAAUUGUAAUGCAUUCCACUGUUUAUAUAUAUAUAUAUCCCAGCUCUUCUUUGUUCCACAGUUCACGAACUGAGAGACUUUGGGUAAUUCCCUCUCUAUCAUCUUUCUGCCACCACCAUACUGUUUCUGACCUGAAGGUGCUGCUAUGAAGUCCAAGGAGUUAAUGUUUGGAAAUGACUGGGAACAGUAUAAGUGUUCUUUGUUAAAUAAAUAAAACCCCAAAUAUCUGUAAGACUUAAGGGCACAAGCAGCACUUCUUUGGGCCCCGUGAGCUGUGCAUAAGGUGUUGAGGAGAUGCUGCAGGGAGGAGAGCUAAGGACAGAGUGUGGCUGGAUACAACCCAAAGAAGACCUUGCUGACUUUCUAUGAUGAGGCCACUACACUGGCAAACUAUACAGAUCCCAACUGAGUCAGGGUAACAUCAUCUCUGCUCCCAAGCCCCAACCUAGAGCCACUUGCCGAGAGAGAGAGAGAGAGAGAGAGAGAGAGAGAGAGAGAGAGAGAGAGAGAGAGAAAGCAGACCAUACACUCACCCACCUCAAGUUUCUAGCUGGAAUCUGAUUUUCCCAGGGAGAGGGAGGAAGGGGGACUUAAAUUGGAUAUGAGUUUGGAAUUUUGAGCCAGACUAGAUUGGACACUGCAUAUGAUGGGUAAGUUAUGGGAAACCUUUAAGGCAUCAUUACAGAAUGGGCAAAGGUGGUGACUGGCAGAAAAUAAAACAUCACACUCAUUCCCACCUGGUUGAGAUUCCUCAAGUUGCUUUUUUCAAAGGGGGGGAACUUUUUUUUUUAAAGCAUUUUCUUCUUCUAACACAAAAGCUGGAGAAAUCUAGAAAGUAGAACAAGAGUGGUUGCCUUGUUUAGAGCAAAAAUAUGUAAACUCUGAAACUUUUUUCCAUGCCUGUGGAGCUGUUACUCAAAGAUUUGUUGAUAUAUGGUAUAGUAGUUUCUUAUUGCUGCUAUAACAACUUACUACAAAGUCAGUGGAAUAAAGUAACAUGGUUUUAUUUUCUAGAAACCCAACGUGGGUCUCACUAGGCUAAAAUCAAGGUGUCAGGCGGGCUAUACUCCUAUUUUAGUCAGGUUUUGCAUCUCUGUGAUGAAAAUACCCAACAAAAACAACUUAAAGAAGGGAAAGUUUAUUUGGGGCUCAAGGUUUCACAGGCUUGUACAUUGUGAACUCCAACUCUGGGCCCAGGGUGGCAGCACAUCAUGAGUGAAGGGCCCUGCAGAGGAAAACUGCUCAGAAACCAGACAGACAGGGAAGGAGGGAACGGGCCACAGGGAAGACGCACACUUCCAGGGCAUGUCCCAGUGACCCACCUCCUCCAGCCAUACCCCACCUGCCUAUAGUUACCAUCCAGUCAGUCCAUUCAAAUGAGGGUGGACAGAUUAGGCUGCAGCUCUCAUGAUGUAAUCCUUUCACCUCUGAAUAUUCCUGCAUUAACUGGAGCUUUUGUGGGACAUCUCAUAUCCAAACUAUAAUAACUCCUGUCUAGAGUUUCUGGUGGUGAAUAUAUUUCUGUGCUCUUUUAGUUUCUAGAAAUUGCUCACUAAAAAGAUGUGAUCUUUUUCUUCAUUAAAAAUGCUGAAUGGCAAGUUGAGUCCUUCUUACCAUAUCACUUUGACUUCCUCUUUUGUCUUCCUCUUUCACUUUUAAGGACCCUUGUAAUCCCUUGGGCUCACCUGCAUAAUCCAGGGUAAUCUUGGUGUGUGUGUGUGUGUGUGUGUGUGUAGUGUGUGUGUUGCUGAGGAUGGAACCCAGGGCCUCAUGCAUGCUAGGCAAGUGCUCUACAACUGAGCUACAACCUUCUCCCAAUCUGGAGUCAAUUGGUUAGCAACCUUGAUUUUAUCUGUAAUCUUUGUUUCCCUUUUCCAUACAACCAAACUUAUUCACGGGUCCUGGGGUUAUAUCACAGACAACGUAGGGGAGCUAUUAUUUUACUAUUUGUGUCUUAUAUGUUAUAGAAUUCAAUUUACUGUAAUAAAAAUGCAUGUGAUCCUCACAAUAUCCCAGCCAAGAUUCACCCCCAUUCCAUCACCUUGCCUCACAGGAGUGGAGGGACAUCCGGUGUACUGUGAACUAUGAAAACCAGUAACUAAGAGACUACUGGAUGUUGGUCAUGUCCUGAUAGUCAAACAAGUCAUUCAAUCCCAUUUAGGGCCCAAGCAGGGGUGACUGGAGGACAUGUACUCUGCACUCACCCCCAGAAACUGAGAAACUCCAGUCCUUGUUUCCCCAGCAAUAGUGUCCUUUUCCCUCUCAGAUGUUCUGCUGCCACCAGGACUUACCCUUAGCCCCAAGCACAUGCAGGGACCUGGAUUUAAAAAUUCCAGAUGGCUGAAACCAGUUUCAGGCACUGCAAGAUGCUACUGACUUAGGGAGCAAGAAAGGCAGUAAAGUCCCUGUCUCUGGUUGCUGAGUGUCAAGGCUCAUCAUUGUCUGAGGUGGAAUCUUCUGGGGAAAGCCGCAUUUGCGAGGGUGCUGCAGCCUGUCUUGGGGGGAGAGCUAGUGUCCAUCCCACUAUCUCUUCAGGGAGGGCUGUGGAGAAGGGCUCUGUGAGACUAGGACCCAGCUCUCUUAACUGUGCUCUGGGAGGAAAGAUGCAUGCGGGCAUUCUUUCAACUUCCCUAUAUUUUGCCAUAUUGAUAUCUAGUCCCUUAGCUUCUGACUCAGGGUGCACAAAUGGUUGUCUGGCCUCCAGAUUUGGAAAUGGGAUUCCAUACACCCCAUACAGGCCCAGUUUGCUGGCCUUUAUGAGUCACCAGGGGUGCUGAGGUGGGGUAAGGAACAAGGACACUGGAGCUGAGAGUUCUCACCCUCAAUAGGAUGCACUAGCAGGCUAGGUUGCCCUGGGACAGGGGCAGAGGUAGGGACAAGGACAGGGGAAAGUGUUUGGUUCAGCACAGCCCUUGGACAUCAGAAUGUUUUCCCACAGUGCUCUCUCUUCUAGCCUUGCUAUAAGGACACUUUGAGGACAGCAGAACCCACUAUUAGAUCACCCUCAGUGGUGGACUCUUAGGCACCUGAGACAUUCUGUCUUGGUCCCUUUUCUCUGGAGUACUGCCCUUGCCAGCUCUUUCACACAAAAGCGGUCAUUCUGCUUCUUUCUUUAUACAACAAGGCUCUUACACAAUGAGGCCCAGUAGCUUAUUGGAAAGAUGGCGAUGGCCUAUUAAAGCAGAACCUCAAACCUUGGGAACACAGGACUUGUCUACCUUCCUGGGGAGGAAGAAGGACCAUCCUCCCAUAGAAACACUGCACCACCAUGACCUUGACACAGACUUCCCCCAAGACCGUUCAUUUGUUUAAGAUAAAGUUACCUUCCCCCCAUGAAUGGAUGGAAGGCUUUCCUUCUGAAGCACAAAAAUCCAUAAGUCCACUAAGAAGAUUUUUAAUGAAAAUUACUGUUUUUAAAAUGAAAAAAAAUCAUCCAUGCUUUUAAAUAUUUGAACAAAAAGGCCAUGUGUAUUGCAACCCAAUGAGGCACAUUUCCAAUUAAAACGAGAGGUUUCUAUGGUUCAAGCAUGUUGGUGAAGCCAUAGCCAGAUAUAAUAAUUUUGUCUCAAUUAUUUCAGGGAUGACUGCACAGGGAAGAUUCUCGCUCCAGAAAAGAGCCCAGGACUAUGAGAAGACACAGCUGUCCAUCCCAGGGCUUUCCCUCUGCUUCCAGCUGACAUGACUUGGAGCCUCUGGGUCUUCGUCUGGGAGUUGGGAGAACCACACAGCCCUCCCAGCCUACCUGCCUACCAGGUUGCUGUGAGACUCCAGUGAGGGGAAGAGAGUGCUGAUGAGUCAGAGGCUCCAUGACGCCCUGCCUUGCCAUCAAUUGGCCCUGGAGAAGAGACUGUUGUGAUCCCCAGAAAUUCUUAUGAUUCUAUCAGGCAAUGGUCACAGAACUAUUCCCACUCAAGCUCCAGCUGUCCUUACGCACAGCACUCAAGGGAUUCCCUAGUCAGAGACUAGGUCACCAGCCACAUGGCAGGGUGAGCUGGGGAGAAGAAGCAGAGUGGGUGAUGGGGCAGGCAAGAGGACAGACUUGCCAUGACUUCCUUUUGCCCAGUGUGGCAGACAGCAAGGUCCAGAUCUACUCCAGAGGCACAUUGUCCACAGAGGAGUCAUUUAGGCAACCUCACUGCAGGGUACCCUCACCCUCAGCUGAUGCUAUAGGCCCAAGGUUCCAGGGUGACAUGGCUUGAUGACAGUCACAGAAGCUGUCAUGCCCUGCCUCUCUGCGACUUCACCCUCAAAUCCUGCUCCUUCUCAGUGAUGGAGAAUUUGGGUGUUUCCCCUAUUCAGCAGAAUUACAGAGCUCUGUCAGAGGACUGCAUAGUGUUACUUCUAGAAACUAUUUUCACUAAAUUAUAUUUCAUGUGUGUUAGGAUUAUGUUGAAGGUGAGAAUAGAAACUGUUUCCACUUGCACAUCACUGUUUCAGAAAACACGUGUCUCGCCUCAGGAACUUCCCCUCAAAACCAUUUGAAUGAACUCAUGACUGUUUAACUUUUCAAUAAUUAACAUCAAACAACUAUUUCCUUUCCAACACUCUUUGACACCUUCCCUAAAAACCCUUGCUUUGCUGAGCAUGAUGGUGCACUCCCAUAAUCUCAGCGGUUCGGCAGGCAAACACAGGAAGAUUGAGAGUUUAAAGACAGCCUCAGCGAAAGUGAGGAACUAAGCAACUCAGUAUGACCCUGCCUCUAAAUAAAAAAAAUAUAUAUACAAAAUAGGGCUGGGGAUGUGGCUCAGUGGUUGAGUGCCCCUAAAGUUCGAUCCCUGGUCCAAAACAAAACAAAACAAAACAAAACCUUUGCUUUCCUGUGUCCAUCAACCUUUCAGGAUUAUGCUGUGAUCCUUACCCAAUUCUAAUCAUGCUCCUGUAAGACAGACCCACUUUUAACUAGACCCCCAAACCUUAAAGCCUCUUCCCUUUGAGGUGUUAACAAGACUUUGCCCAGGAAGUGAUCUUCCUUCUUGGCAUGAGUAAGCAACUUCAUUUUGCGCUUUCAAUAAGUGUUUUUGAAUAGUCAACAUUUGAAAAAGGAUAGGCUGAGAAAUGGCAUCUAUUUUCUGGGUCGACUAGGAGAGUCAUCACCUUGCCAGGAAGACUUAUUUUUCUUCUAAUCCUUUGUUUUCUCUUCGCCUUUACCUAACUCAUGGAAUUUUGUGUUCUUGUUCACCAUCUUCAACCCCCAGGGAAGGAGGAAGGGUACUGCUGUUACUGCUCUCAGCAUCCCACCCUCGUCCCUGGGCCACAAGUCCCACCUAUUACCAGUUCCUGGACUCCACACUUGUGCCUGAGGGCUCUCCUGUCCACCCUGUCCUGACUAGAAAAUGCAUAGUCAGUGCCUCAUAAUUAGCACAUCCACAGCUCUGGUGUUCCACCAAGACUCAGGAAAUAGUAUAUAAAUAUCUCAGUGCCCUCAUCCCUCUGUGGAACAGCUUUUCAGACCUGUGUUUUCCAUCUUUUGGAGUUUCCCCUCAGGAUUGUUACUGGCUUAUGGUAGUGGCUGACUUCAUAGUCACCACUUCCUGGCUUCUUUUCUUUACCUGUGUCCCUUCCCUACUUCGCUACAAGUAUUCCCCAAGUGGUUUACUUGAAUCUCUGUCUCAAGGUCUACUUCUGGAAGAAUCCAAACUCAAAGGGAUAUAAAUAAGCAGAAAGGCAUGGAAACCAGUCAGAUGUCUUACAUAUUACAAAUGUUCAAAUAAAUGUUUGUUGCGCUGAGGGGAGAAUGAUGCAAAGUGACUUUACAAUGCACAGCGCAGAACUGAGCACAUAGCCGGUGUCCGAUAAUAAAUGCUUGGGGAGGAGAGGAAAAGCCUAAUGUAGAGCAGGCUGGAUGAUAUCCCAGUGGAUCUGAUACAGAGGGAAGGUGAAGAACCAUUGGCCUUUGGGCAUCCUUCUGGAAUUAGAGUUCUGUGAGUUCACCUGGCUGUAGUGGAGAUGGGGAAACUUCUGGGGGCAAAAGCCUCACUGGGGGUAUCCAGUUAGCCUCUCUCCUCUUCCCAUUGAAUUUUCUUUGAUCACACAAAAUUCAUUUUAAACACCAUGAUGGAGAAAUAAUUUAUAUAUCUGAUUAUUUACCAUUUUAAAGUGCAAGAAGAGUUGCACAACCAUCAUCACUAAUUCUAGAAUAUUCUCCCCCCUCCUCCACAAAAACCUGCAUCCAUUUAACAGUCUCUCCUCAUUCAUGACUCCCUCAGCUGCUGGCAAACACUAAUCUACUUUCUGUUUCUACACAUUUGCCUGUUUUGAGCAUUUCAUCAUUUUAUAAAUGGAGUCAUAAACUAUGUGGUCUUCCUUGACUGGAUUCUUUUACUUGGCACAUAUUUUCAAGGUUCAUCUAUGUUGUAGCAUGAAUCAGUACUCCAUUUCUUUUUAUUGCCAAAUAAUAUCCCAUAUGGAUAUUCCAGAUUUUGUUUAUCCAUUAGUCAGUUGGUGGGUGUUUGGAUUCUUUCCCCUUUCCGGCUAUUAUGAAUAUUCAUGCGAGAGUUUUUGGGUGGACCUAUGUCUUCAUUCCUAGUAUAUACCUAGGAGUAGAAUUGCAGGACAUAUUAUAGCUCUAUGUUGACCAUUUUGUGGAACUGCCACAUUGUUUUCCAGAGUAGCUGCACCAUUUCACAUUCCUGCCAAUGAUGUAGGAGGGUUCCAAGUUCUCCACAUCCUAACACUUGCUAUUGUCUUUCUUUUUUUUUUAUUAUUAUAGCCACCCUAUAGUGUGAAGUGGCAUUUUAGUGUUUUUUUAAAUUUACAUUUUCCUCGUGACUAAUGACAGUGAGCAUCUUUUCAUAUGAUCAUUAAACAUUUUUAUAACUUCUUUGGAGAAUUCUCUUCGAAUCCUUUGCUCAUUUUUUAAAAUUGGGCUAUUUGCCUUUUUUAUUGUUGAGUUGUAAGAGUUCUGGAUACUGAACCCUUACCAGGUAAGAUGAUCUGUAGAUAUUUUCUGUGCAGUAGUUUUCACUUUCUUCAUAGAGUCCUUUAAAGCACAAAAUUGUUCAAUUUUGAUGAAGUCCAACUUGGCUAUUUCUUGUCCUUUCCUUGUGCUUUUGGUGUCAUAACUAAGAAACCAUUACCAAAAGGUCAUAAAGGAUAAGAUCUAUGUUUUUUUCUAAGAGUUUUUUUAGUGUUAACUCUUUAUGUCCAGAUCUUUGGUCCAUUUCAAGUUAAAUUUUGUAGAUGGUGUGAGGUGGGAUCCAUCUUCAUUCUUCUCACAUGGCUAUCAUCUUUUCCAGCACCAUUUGUUAAAAACAUCAUUCUUCCCCUCACUGGAUUGUUGUGGUGCUCUUGUCAAAAUCAAUUGACCAUAAAGAUGAAGUUUAUUUCUGUACUCUUAAUUCUAUUCCAUGGAUCUAUGUAUCUUUCCUUAGGAAAGGAAAGAUACAUAAAUCCAUGGAAUACCACACUGUCUCAAUUACUGUAUUUUUGCAAUAAAUUUUUAAAUUUGGAAGCAGGUGUAAAGUCCUCUAAACUUGUUCUUUUUCAAGAUGGCUUUAGCAUUAGCUAUUCUGAGUUCUUUGCAUUUCCAUAAGAAUUUAGGUGUCACUUUGUUAAUUUCUGAAAAAAAAAGUUCAGAUUUUUAUAAGGAUUUAAAAAUUUUUUUUUGUAGUUUUAGGUGGACAGAAUGCCUUUAUUUUAUUUGUUUAUUUUUACAUGGUGCCUCACACAUGCUAGGCAAGCACUCUGCCAAUGAGCUACACCCCAAUCCAUUGAUAAGGAUUUUGUUGAAUGUUUAGAUCAAAAUUUAUAGAGUGUGACCAUCCUUUUUAAAAACAUCAUUUUAUUGUUGUUGUUUAUUUCUUAUGUGGUGAUGAGGAUUGAACCCAGGUCCUCAAACAUGGUAGGCAGGUGAUUUAUCACUGAACUACAACCCCAGCCCUAGAAUGUGAUCAUCUUAACAAAUAAAGUUAUUUAGCCUGUAAACAUGAGAUUUUAUUUGCAUGUAUUUAGGUCUUUCAUUUUUCUUCAACAAUAUUUCGUAAUUGGCAAUGUACAAGUCUACACUUCUUUUGUUAAAUUUAUUUCUAAGUAUUUCAUGCUUUUUGAUGCUAUUAUAAAUUGAAUUGUUUCUUACCUUCACUUUUUGAUUGUUCAUUAUCAACUUAUAGAAAUAUAAUUGAUUUUUGUAUGAUACCACAAAAUUUUAAAAUCUAUGCAUUUUUCCUUCAAAAUCAAUGAUUAUUUUUAAAGAUACUUUCUGUACUUUAAGAUAAGAGAUUAUUUGAGGCCUGCCAUAGAGCACUGAAAGCUUAUUGCUGUCCUUGAGAUUAAACAGAAAAAAUCUUGGGGUGAUGUGAAGUAUGUGGUCCCUUAGUCCUAGGAUGAAGUAGAAUAGCAGAAAGUCCUGAACUUUCAAACUGCUUCAGAUGUCCUUGAGCACAGAACACAGAUAUGGAAGUAGUACAAAUUUACAAAAUGAAAGAUUAAUCUCAAAGGCUGGUAUACUACAAUGAUUGUUGGAGAUAUACAUUUUGAAAAAAAAAACACAUAAAAACUCUCCCAGGAAAAAUGGGAGUAUGUGGUUCACUACCAACUUGGGGUGUUGGUUAUGACAUUUUGACUUUGAAUGGACCAUGGGAUCAUGCAGCCUGUGCAUCUGAAUGUCGAGAUAAGAAAACAGAGUCCAGAAAAGUACAGUGACCCAUGGUGCUAUAGAGGAGCAAAAGCAAAGGAUUUGGGAAGAAAUUACCUAAGUCCUUAGAAUUGUGAGACUUCUAGAAAGGUUGCUUGGCUCCCAUCAUCCUUAGAUAGUCAUUUGUUAAAGUGGAAAGUGAGGACUACCUUGCAGGUUGGUUACAAAGAAUUGAUAUCCAGCCAGUUGAAUGUUUCCCAGGUGCCUCGUGUCAGGCACUGCUCUGGAUGCUGAGGACAGGGUAGAGAGUAGAGUCCAUGACCACAAGAAGAGUAGGUUCACAGUGAGGAUUAAAUGAGAUAGAUUAAUAAUAACGUGCCAGGCUUAGCAUUGUUUCUUUGGCUCAUUGUAUAUGCUCUUUGUAAGAUCAGGUUACAUUUCCCCAAAGCAGACCCUCACUGUAUUCAGUUUUGGAUCCUGAAUGCCACAUUCAAUGCCUGACACUAGGUAGUCUCUUGAAUAUUAUUGAACUAAACAAAUCUUCUCACCCGGAGUCGAAAGAGGACUUGAAACACCUGAGGGAAGCACUGGGCUGAUGGAGUGAGGAAGCAGAGCAUCUCAGGAGGAGGAGGUGACCAGCACAAAAGUCAUGAGACCAGCUCCUGAUCCAAAGGUAAAUAAAUCAGUCAAUCCAGGCUUUAUUUCAUUUUCUAAAAAUGAAAACAAUCUCUUGAUAAAACACUUCUGGUCACAUCCACAUGUGAAUGUCUUUUCAGACAAAAUAAAUAAGUUUUCUGGAAAGACUAAGUUUUAAAAUAGAAAUAAAUGCAAUUUAUGUCAAUAUCACUCUGAGAGAAAAAUAAAAGCAAUACUGUGCAUGCCAUCAUGAGAUUGAGCCUGUCCAAAAUGGGAUAAGAGUGGUGAGGGCGGGGUGGUCUACAAAGAAGGGGUGACUUCAGGCCUAGAACAGGAGGUCAGGCCCAGGGCCUCAUCCUAGACUUCUGCAUGGACCCUGCAUUCUUCCUGCUGGGUCCCAAACAUCUUGAGAUAUGCAGCCCCAUGGGGGAGGGGCAGAGGGAGCAGGAAUUGGGCUGGGACCAUGGGAGCAGCUGGUGACCAUGAACCGUGUGCCAGGCAUUAUACAGAGCUCUGGGUCUCUAAUCUCUCCUUGCCUCAUUGAAUCAGUCCUCUCCAGACCUUACGACUGAGAGAGAAAAAAAGGAAUUAGUAUUUAGACAAUACUCAAGUGGAAAUCCAGAGGGCCGGUUCCAGAUCCAGCUGUUUCUUGUUGGCUGUAUGAUCUUGAUGCAGUACAUUAACUUUUGAAAUAUUCAUUUCCUCAUUGUUAAAUGAGAAGUCAGAACUAGAUUUGGCAUGGUGAAUACCCCAGAGGUGUGUCCCUUCCCUAUAGGUCCUCUACAGCAGACAUUAGUAAUCAAUCACUCUCCACUUCUCUUCCCAGCUGGUUACCUGAGCCUCCCUCACAGACCACUCAUUUGGGAUUGGGUACAAGAUACAAGUUAUUUGUCAUCUGCGACCAGACAGUUUUACAAGUGUUUUUGUUUGUUUGUUUGUUUUUCUACUGGAUCUAUGUGAUUUAAAUCAUUUUCUGUAGGUUAGUCCACUAUCGUUAUUAUGAGGUAGAAAAUUGAUGAUUCUAUAAAGACAAGAAAGAGCCGGUGGUGGCUCUACAUCAGUGUAAGCCGUGGUGACUAUUAUUUAUGUAGAGUACUUUCAACAACAACACCCUGCAGCUUCUGAAGAAGGGGGGCUUCCUAUGAGCUUGGUCAAGGAUAGUCAACACGGAGAUUGAGUAGCAGGGAGACAUGGAGAAAGAAUUGUGAAAUUUUAAAAAAUAAAAUAUAAACGUGUAUUUCUGUGCCAGUAUUAAUUGAAUUCCAUGCAAUAAUCAUUCAGGAAUCGUUGCUAGGAAAUCAGCGGCUACUAGUCUAGCUGAGUUCAGACAGGAAUGUGUCAUUCAUACAAUACAAACAGGGAAGGGCUUUGAAGAGCAUGAAACUGGGCUCUGUCCAAUUCUAUUCAAGGAAACAUAGUGCAGGGUUUUUUAGACACAGCUAAGGUGAAAAAUCUUUCCCAAGGUGAUCUAAUUUCCAGGGUGGUGACCUGGAGCGCCACCCAUGGGUCUCAUUUCGUCUGCCCAGCCGGUCACUGCUGUCCCUUACAGCUGUUGUCUGGCUUCUGACCCAAGACCUGGCUGCUGUGUGUCUGGGACCAGAGUGAUGGCUGAGUUGGGAGGAAAAUGACAUCUUUUUAGAGAGGAACUUGGAAAGUGAAUUUCAUCCCCCCCAAAAGCCACCCUUUGGAAUUGAUUGGGGCUCAGAGGAAGACCCCAACUCAUCACUUGAGAGCCUAGCCCCACCCAGCCUCUUCUUGCUCUCCUAGCCCACACUCCUUUCCUUGUAGCACAAACCACCAGUCAGUCUCUUCUGUGUUUAAGGAUUUAUAUGGUCAGGGUCUCUCCUCUCUCUGCCGUGGAAGCUCCAAGAGGAUGUGGAUUUAUGUCUGUUAUGUUCACAGCUGUUUCUUUGGUACUUACUAAGACUUAAUCACAUAAAUUAAUACCUGAAACUGAAUAGGCACCUACUAUUUGUUAAAGGACCGAAGCCACUCAUCUAUUCAAUAUUUUGUUCACCUUGACAAGAAAGAUUUAAGUGACUAUCUCCUGAAUGCCUGAAAUGAUUCCCCAGGUUUGGGAUUGGGGUCUGGGAGGUGGUUUGAAAAGGAAAGGGAAUUUCUACUGAGGAUUAAGGGAAAAGGCAAAGAAAUGAUUGUCUCUUUAUGUGUCACCUUCUAAUUCAUCAUGAGCUUUUAUGUUCAUGGUUUACUUGUGCUUCAAGUCAAGCUUUUGAGGUAAGUAGCCUUAUCUUGGUUUUCCAGAAGAAGAAAUGCGGUUCAUAGAAAUUAACUUACCCCAAACCACAUAGCUAUUAGUGGUAAAGCCUAGGCCUUUACACAAGUUAGGAAUGUCAACUUCAGCACCUGGCCACUCUGCUCCCCAUCCCUCACCCCCAAAUGUUUCUCUAGCUAGCUGCUUUGCAGGAGUCAAAACUGUUUUAGCAAUCCUGGUGGGACCCAAGUUCCUCAGGGGCUCUAAUAUGGUGAGUUUCUUUUUUGUUUUUUUAAUCUGCUUUGGUUUGAGAUAUCUUUUCCUAUAAUCCUUAAAAGAUAGGGGAAAUUCAUAUGAUACUUAUCCACAGGAAGAGAGAACAUGCAUGGAGAAGAGACAUUCAAGUUUGGAAUCAGAUUUCCCAAGCCCCUAAGGUUCUGGCACUUCCCAGAAUACCCGCGGCAGGAUUCCCCAUGGAUGGUGAUCUCAUUUCCAGGGAAGUUCUCCUUUGUAAAUGUAAGUGUAAGUCAAGUGUAAGUGUAAAUCAAGUCUAUUUCCCAUCCCUGUUAGGCUUAGAGAUUCUUAGUGAUAUAUUAUUUUAUUUUCCAGAUCCCAAGAACUUAGCCCUCUACCCUGAAACUGGCAACUUUAACACUAAAAUUCUUGUGUUUUGGGCAACUAAAGAUUGCCUAAUAGCUCCUGUCUCCCUCCCUCCCCAGCAUCCAGGACCCAUCUAGUAUGUUAGUUGUCCUGAGACCUGUGAAAAAAAGUUUAAAUUCCCAUUCUGAGAAAGUUCCCUUUUAUUUUAGGUUAUUACAGAAUCGCCCAGUGGUCCAGGCAAUGGUACCAGCCUGCCUGACAUAGGAGGGUGAAUGGAUGAGUAGAUUUCACCACAUAUUAAUAUCUUUCAAGUAAGUAUUUAAAUAAUAAGAUUCCCUUCAUUGGAUUUUCUGUUGUAUCUUAUUUAUAUCACCUUAUGUUGCUGGGCUAUUCAGUGUGUGAAAAUAAUUUUGAAAUAAUUUUAGUCGAUUUCUUUUGCUAGGUUCUCAGGAAGAAACCACAUCUGUGUUAGAAAGGGGAUAGAUAUUUGCUCUUACCUUUAUAAAACAUGCUUCUCUGUAGGCUUGUUGGGAAGGGUUAACAAAGUGUUCUAAAUAGGUCAUAUCCUAGCCUGGGAACCCAAAGCCCUGAUGACAGGAAGGGUUGGAAAGUGACAGCAGGAUGCACAUUUCUCUGUCACAGCUUCCUCAAACUUAAAAAGCAUGGUCAAUGACAGGAGAGAGUCAGCCCUGUGCCUUCAACAUGAAAUUCCACAUUCAAAGUUCUUAGGUUUGCUGUGGUCCCAUUGCAUUCAGGUUUGUUUAGGGCAAAGCGAAGGGUGCAUAUAUAAAGGAGAAGAUAGUACUUGAAAAAAAUACUGGUAGUCAGGGUGCACAGAACAUACAAACAUGAAGCAACUGGAGAAGACAGGCAAAUGUCACAGUGUGAAAUGUAUUAGCCCAGACUGAACAGAGGUGAUGUGACUGCCUAAGGAAAGGGGGAUCUCAGCAUACACUCCAGUUUUCUCCCUACACUAUUCUGUCUGCUUAUCAAGGGAAUCUUCCUUAGCCUAAAAGAAAAAUCUUCAUUUAUUCUGUGUUUCCUAAUGAAUAUUGUCAUGGGUUUCCUGAAAGGACAGAAUAUCAUAAAUUAAUUAGAAGACAGAGGGAAAGAGAAUCUCUCAGUAGCAAGGAAACAGAGGGAAAAUAUGAUGUAUAGAUGAUAAGAGAUGCAAUAAAAAUAUAAAAAAAACCAGAACUAAGAGAUUAAAAAUAAAUAGCAUAUGUUAAUAAAGAGAAUAUCCAAAUAGCCAAUAAAUGAUCUGAAUUUGUCUCACUAAAAAUUUACAUUGAAAUCUUUACUCCCAAAGCAGCAGGAGGUAGAGGGGAGGUGAUCAGAAUAUGGAGGCAGAAUCCCCAUGCCUGGCAUUAGUGCCCUUACAAGGGACUGAGAGAGAACACUCCCUGUUAGGGUCUAGAUGUGACAUGUCCCCCAAAAGCUCAUGUGUGAGACAUUGCAAGAAAGCCUUAACCAAAUCAGUGAAUUAAUCCCAUGAUAGAAUUAAUUGAAUGGCAUCUGAAGACAGGGAGGGUGUGGCUGGAGGUCAGUCAUUGGGGGUGUAGCUUUGGGGUAUAUAUUUUGUAUCUGGUGAGUCUCUCUCUGCUUCCUAAUGUGAGCUGUUUCCCUCCAUCACACUCUUACGCCAUACGUUCCGCCUCAUCCCAAGCCCUGAGGAAGAGAGCCAGAUUUCUAUGGACUGGGACCUCUGAACUGUUAGCCCCCAAAUAAACUUUUCCUGCUCUAUAAUUGUUCUGGUCAGGUCUUUUAGUCACAGCAGUGAAAAAUCCUGACUAAAACAUUUCCUUUCCAUCAUAAGAGGACAUAUCAAGAAGGUUCUAUAAGUAACCAGAGAGCUGGCCUUCCCCAGACACUGAAUCACCUUGAUCCUCGACUCCCGCACUCCAGAACUGUGAUAAACUGUGACUUCCGUUGUUGAUAAACUGCCCAGUUUAUGGCAUUUUGUUAUGGCAGCCUAAAAGGACUAAGGAAGAACUGCAAAUUGAAAAAUCCCAAUGUUACAGCACCACUCACCCAGUUGAGGGUCAAAAAGGAAAAGGACAGAUGAUACUCAGUUUGGGUAAAGAUAUGGAGUAACUCGAACUCUCAUUCACUUUUAAUGGGAAUGUAAAUUAGUAUCAACAACAGAAUUUAUAUAUAUCUCCUAUAUACCAGUGAGAAUAAAUGAAUUCUAACUACAUGAAACACCAUGAGUCUCACGAACAAUGCUUAGUGAAAAAAUAGAAAACCAGGCACAAAAAAAUACAUGCUAUAUAAUUUCAUUUUUAUAAAGUCCCCAAACAGACAAAACUCUGAGUUAAAAGUCAAGAUAGUGGAGUCCCUUGUAGGGGACAGUGGCUGGAAGGGAUCAUGAGUGUCUCUAAGCCUGUUACUGCUUGGUUCCUGAUCCGGGGGCUGGGGACACAAGUGGGCUCUUUGUGAAAAAUCAGCAAGCCAUAUAUCUUGAUUUGUUCAUUUUCUUUGUGUGCAUAUUUCCAAAAAUUUGCAAAACAUAAAGAUCAAAAUAAUACCUACAAGAGUGAAGUUGGUUCUUACUUCACAUUAUAUACAAAAUUAACUCAAAAUGGACCAAAGACCCAUAUAUAAGAGCUAACUCUUAGGAGAAAAUGUAGACAUAAAUUUUCAUUAAUUUUGAAUUGGCAAUGGUUUCUUAGCCAUGCCACCAAAAGCAAAAGUAACCAAAGAGAAAAAAAUAGAUAAAACGGACUUUAUCAAAACUGGAAAGUUCGGUGCUUCACGGGACAAAAUGAAGAAAAUGAAAAGAAUACCCACAGAAUGAGAGAAAAAUAUUUGUAAAUCUGAUAAGGAUUUAAUAUCCACAAUAUAUAAAGAACUCAAACAACUCAGCAAUAGAAAAACUAAUUUAAAAACAGGCAAAAAGAUAAAUAGACAUUUCUCCUAACAAGAUCCACAAAUGGUCAAUAAGCAUAUGAAAUGAUGCUCAACAUCACUAGUUGCUAAGGAAAUGGGAAUAUAUCACAAUAAGACACCACUUCACAAUAACAGGAUGGCUAAGAUAAGAGGCAGAUGAUAGAGACAAUACCAUGAUGGUGAGCAUGUGUAGAAAUUAUAACUCUCAUACAUUGCUGGAAGGAAUAUGAAAAGGUGCAGCUACUUUGGAAAAUGUUUUGGCAAUUCUUCAAAAAUUUGACAUAGAAGUCCCAGAUGCUCCAGAAAUUCUACUCCUAGUCCUCUAAUCAAGAGAAAUUCAACAUAGGUCUACACAAAUAAAUAUACAUGGAUUUCAUUGAAACAUUAUUUAUAAUAGCCCCAAAUUGGAAAAGCCCAAAUGUCUAUCAAUGGAUGAAGACAGAUGAGUGGAUAAAUAAAAUGCAGUGCAUAUAUAAAAGGAAUAUUAUUCAGUUAUAAGAAGAAUAAAACACAACAAGGCUACAAUAUUGAUGAACCUUAAAAACAUGAAGUGAAAGACUCCGGUCACAAGGAUCAUGUGUUUUAAAUGAAAUAUCAGGAUGAGGCAAAUCCAGAGAAAUAGAAAGUAGGUUAGUGGUUCCAGGAGCUGCAACCGUGGAAGGAAUAGGGAGUGAUGAAAAUCUGAAAUUGGAAAGUGGUGAUGAUGUACAACUUUGUGAAUAUUCUAUAUGCUAUUGAAUUGUGUGUUUUCCCAUUGAAUUUUGUGGUAUGUGAAUUUUUUCUCAAUAAAAGAACCUACUAGAGGAGAUUUUUAAACAAUAA